UUUUUUUUUUUUUUUUUUUUUUGUUGUCAUUCCUGCCUAAAGAUGUUAUCGUUCUUUACUAAAGAAUUGUCAAAGUAGGGUAAACCGUGGGUGUCCUUUUGUCAGCAUUUCUGGAUUAACAACAAUAUAGGUGAGCAUGGACGGAUACACCCACAGACGCAUUUGUAGAAACGUGUAUAUCCAAAUAUGGGAGUGCAGGAGAUCCAUCUAUAUGUUUCUUUUGUAACUUUGCUUUUAACUUUUGACUUGGCUACAAAAGUACAAAAUGGUAAAGCAUUAGGUACUUUUUUUUUUUUUUUUUUUAAUUUUGGAAACGUAGUCCUAAUGUUAUUAGUAUAAAAUAGUGGCAACUAGCGAGGUGUUUAUAGCUAGGAAAAAUUGAACUAAAAGAAAAAUGAACGACUUGGGGUGAAAACGAGUCUAUGAACAAAGAUGAGAAGAUCCAACUACCUAUAUUUCUUGUAGUUUUUUCUUUCAUGGCCAUAUUAUUUUAAGUUCCCUCGACUAUCUUAAAACGUAGCAAUUACAAAUUUUCAAAGCUAUUCAGAAACUUGUACUGAAUAGAAACUGUUCAUAAUUGUUCUUUGCUGCACCAACUUGCUCCAUCGAGCAAUUGAGUUUUAUUGGGGACUAGUAACAGUACAACAGUGUAAUGGUCAAUACCCAAAUGAAAGUAAAACAAUAAUACCAAAACUGAUCCACAUAGCUGAAAAGCUAGGCAUAGAUAAAGUUAGUGAAAAAACAUGGAGGCAAAAAACUUCCUUUAUACCUUUAAGAAUAGAAUUCUGCCAAUCGAUCCGACCUCAAGAUACAAGACAGACUUACCAGCAGCUAACAGAUAAUCCCUUGUGUAUAAAGCCAAAAUGAUUAUUGAUUUGUGGGUACUUAUCAGAUGGGGACUUCAAACGCGACAUCUGUUGAUUAUCUUUGAGGUGUAAAAAAAAAAAAUAAGAAUCCUCUUUUGUAAUUUUACUGUCCUAUCCCUUUCCUUUAAUCCAGAAUGAGGUAUGUCAUCUUGUUUACAAUCUUUAGUAGUUCUCCAAAAUAGCUGAUUUGUGGAAUCAAUCUCCAUUGUGUGUGUGUGCGUGUGUUUUUUUUUUUAAGUUAGAUAACAAAAAAUGAAAAAAAAAUUGGUUUAAAUAAGUAAAGUUGAAUUAAACAUUCAGCUUCAUAAAAAGUUAACUGCCAAUUUUCUCUCCUUAACUUUUUUACUCCUUUAUAUACAUGAAAAAUUGAUCAAUCUUCUACUAAUGUUUAUCCAGAGCCGGCCUGAACUAAAACUUUCCAUAUGCUUUCUGCAGACUGCCUUCUAAUUUUUUUUUUUUAAAAAAAAGACCCUCCUAACACGGUUAAUGGUUUCCCCCCACACCCCCCCCCUCCUCCUCGCUAGUUAUAUUAGAAGCAGGAUUUCCUUUUUCUAAAACUGCACAAGCUAAGUUUUGCUACUGUUCUAGAAGACUAGGAACUUAUGCGUGUGUCUUAUUCGUCCCAUCCGUUUGCUCUUUCUUGUUAAUUCUAGAAGACAUUGACGUGAAACAAAAGUAGCACUUAGUAUAGUAAGUAAUCACGCACUUCACUCUUAUAUUAGGUUUCACACUAUAAAUACAAACAUUGACAUUUAUUGACCCCCAAAUAAAUGCAAAUACAGUUAUUUACACAAACCCUUUUUUUUGCAUGCAUAUCCACCAACUUUUCCCCUAGAUUCUUUUCUGACAGGACAUACAAUAAAUAUAUCUAACUGAAACACAUUUUUUCUUUCUUUAUUAAAAUGUUCUUGAUAUCAUCUUGCUCUAGAAGCAUUUGAUCCAGCCAUUGUCCUGACCUCUUGUUCUUUCCCUUCUUUUCCCCCAGUUGACUAAUACGCGGCUUAAAUACCUACCCGUCGUCUAGACAUGCAUAUUUAUUAAAUCCUCCCCAACAAGAAAAUCAUCAUUUGCGUCCACCAAGCAUUUUAUCCUUCUCCUUUCUUAUUACACUACUCUCCAAUUCUCAACCAAAAUGGAUGAUGAUACCAAGAACAAAACUCCUCAUCUCCAAGAUGAUCACCAUCAGCUAGCUGCGGCAGAAACAGAAGAAGCAGAUGAAGCCCUUUCCCUUAGCGGGCUUAUCUUAAACUCGGAUGAAAUCGAGGUCCAAGAUCGAAGAAGAUCAUCCUUUUCUGAUCCAUCAGAGCUUUUCGAGUUCUUGAGCGACAAAAACUCCCAGAUGUCGCAUGCAGAAGAUAUCAUUUUCUGCGGUAAGCUUAUGCCAUACCAAGAAAACCCCUCUCGUCUGCCCAAUGCUCACAAUUUCCACAAGCAUCAUCAACUCACCAGACAUGAGAAACAACAAAGCUUCCAUCGUAGAAGAUCCGAGUCGUUAAGUGACCUAAAAACCAGCCUGUCCAACAGUGCUAGAAGAAACCAGCAUCAGUUCAUGAGGGCUAGCCGGUCUUUAGACUGCCGAAAGUUGUAUGGAAACAAGUACAACUCCCCCUCGGCAGCGGGCGGUUUCGCCAGGGCUGAAAAAGUAGAGAUUGAGCGGAGCUCGUCGACGAGAAGUUCGAACAAGGGUUUUAAUGCCACUGGGAUGAAAGAAAAGACUGCAAGACCAAGGUGGUACAUGAUGUUUGGGCCUGUGAGGUUUCCACCGGAGAUGGCUUAUCAAGAUAUAAAGAGCCGGCAAGUGCGGCAGAGUCCCGGAAGUUUGUUUACGUCAUUGGAGUCCCGCGAGAAGGCCAUUGUGAACCGGCCGCAAGAUCGGAGAUGGUCGGGCUCUUGGGAUUUGCUUAGGGUAUUAAGCUGCAAGGGCCAUGCAAGUGUAGCUGUAACGGCGUCGUUUGGCUGCCUGCAGGCGCAGCACAGUAUUUGAAUAGUUGACAUUGCCUCUGUCAUGUGCGUACCUCACGUGACUACUAAUACUUUGACAUAAUUGUCCAUGGGGGACGUGGAUGGAACUGGCUGAUUGGGCUGUGAAGAGGAAGGGCAAAAUGGGGUGUCUAGAAAGAGACAUCACGUAGAAGAGAAGAUAGUGUACUGUGAGACCACAUGGUUAAUGAUGAUCAUGACGCCUCAGAUGUAAUGAAGAAGGGUAGAAUAUUUUGUCCUCCAAUUUGUGUAGGGCCAUUUGAAAAAAUUAAUGGGGAUCACGGGGUCCCAAUGACGACAUGAAUUUGGUAUUUAUUUUGGGGAGUACAAUUUUUAAAUUUCUAACUUAUUAGGGGAAUUUUUCCAGCCUUGGCAGUUUGUUAUUUGGAAUGUUUGUGUGUUCUUGAAGUCGGCCAUUUUUUUUUUUAAAAAAAAAUCUAUUGUGUAUGGAUGUAAUUUGUCCUUCAAGUACAGUACUACAAAAAUUAUAGAGAUAAACGUUCUCAUCUCAAUUCCAACUUGAGAUAGGAAAACAAGUAGCAGCAGUAGAAUAUUUAAAUAACGAGGUUGCUGUAUAUUGCCAUGCGCUAUAUGGUGAUUGUUGAGCCUUUACGCAUUCUUGCGAUAAAAUUAUACCUCUGAUUUGAGCACUAAUGUUUCAGUGAGGUCCAGAAAGGCAAAGGUAAUAUUUGUCGAAAACCAUGAUUUAGAAAAGGAGCUUAUAGUACAUCAUAUAAACCGACAACUACAGAAAAAACUACAAAGAUGUCCCCGAAGACGGAUAUUCACAAGGACAUAAGUGAAAAUUUCUAGUGUUUGAAGGGGAUAAAAGGUACUUUCAAAAUCUUGGGACGCAGAAACUAAUUCCUACAAGAACAUAUGAAUAAUAUUUACAGUUAAUUUCUUAAGAAAUAUAGAACUGCUGCUGAUGAUGAUGCAAGUAAAAUAAAAAGAUAGUUGAAAAACGUGCUGAUGAUGCAAGUAAAUAAAACUCGGUAAAUAAUUCAUUAAUUGUUACUUUGACAGUGGCCUUCAUAUUAUUGUCUUCCUUGAUCAAGUAAUAUGUGAUCCUCGAUCGUUUAUCUCAUGCAAAAUGUCUAGGGCUGGUGGGGUGAGUGGUGAUGGGUAUACGGGUGAUGCCUGUGAACACUUUAACAGAAAAAUCUCUGUUCAGCACGAAAAUGAACCCAUUCAUUUCAUUGUCAAUGGAUCUGCAUUAGCAGCCUACCCCUUCAUAAUUCACCAUUGACGUCAGUGCUGUUAUCCUAUUAUCUUCGUCAUGAAGAUAGACAGAAUAAAGGUCGAAAUCCCUAAAAGUUAAUUAAAUAGCACUAGAUUUAACUUACAUAAUAAACUGUUGUUUUCAUUCUAAGUAUUUUUCACGUAAUUUUGAAAUGUCACAUGUUUCACCAUUUUCAGGAAUUAUGUAUAAGAAACGUAUGGUGAUCAUAUAGAUCGUAGGACCAAAUAUGAGUACUACAAACAACGUGCAAGGAACAUAUUUUAGACCCCCGUCCUACGUUAAUUGGCCAAGUUAAUUAGAUCCAUUUGAGUAACAAUACUCUCUGGCAAUAUUGUUAGACUUCAUAUUCUGAAGUUUUAUUCAUGAAAAUUUGGAUCGAAGUUUAUUUCCAAGAUAUUAUUUGCUUCCAUUUAGAAACAUGUUUUUCAAUCAAUCAAUUUAUUUUUUCAACUACUUUUUUAUCUUGUACACAUCACAUCAUAAAAAAUAUUACAGUAAUUAUUUUACAUAUAUAAUCUCAUAUCCAAACAAAUGUUGUCAUAGGGUUUUAAUAUCUCCAAUUUUAGUGACUUAACUUUUGUAUUUGGGUGAAAAGUCUGGAGUUGAGUAGCUGGGACAUGUGCAUAAUCGCGUGCACUAGAAGUUUUUGUACCACAUUAAACAGUUUGGAUGCCUUCUUCAGUUUGAAAUUCUACAGCAAACCAAUUUGAUAGUGAUUGGAUAGCCAAUCAACCAACGAGACUUCUUAUGAUGUAAUGUAUGCGAGAUAAAACGGUAGUUGAAAAAUAUAUUAAGUGAAUACGAGGUCUCCACAAUAUCCAGAAAAAGUUUUCCACAAAACUAACAAUCAAAACAAGCAAAGUGGGAAAAAACAAAAAAAUUUUGUUACUAAAAGUUUAUAAAAACCAAUUCAAGAGCAUUAUGUAGAAAGCUAACAGUAAGGUGCGUGGCGUACUUUUCUCUUGCGGUUGAAACAUCCAUGAUUUCCUUUUUGCUGGCUUAAUUUGCUUCAAUGAGUAACCGAGCAUUAUGUUUUGCUUCACAUUGAAGCUUGUUCUCCGUUGAUAUUUCUCUCUUCAUCUCUUUUAUUGCAUUACAGCUCAACUACCCUAGUAAUUAAAGUGUCGUGCAUCUUUAUAAUGACGGGACAAAGAAAAACAUCGGAAGUGAUAAACUAAAUAGUACGCUCUAUGUCAAUUGUCAUGAAAAAAAAAAAAAUCAAGACAUUCGUUACUACACUUCACUUAUCUGCAUUGUUUGGAUUGUAGUUUUCUAUCAAAAUUCUUUUUCAUAAAUAUAUUUUUCAAUCAUCUUUUUAUUCCACGCUCUAUGUAGUAUAUGUAUGUAUGCUUUUGACAAGAUUUAUAUAUUGGAACUUCAUUUAAAUAUGCACAAGAUUUUAACACUCUCUUAAUUUUUGUUUGAAAACUAAAAUUUUUUUAAUAAACAUGUUUACUUUUUUAUUAUACAAUCAAUCUUUUUAGCUUUCAAACUGACAAUAUUUGAAUAGUUAGAAAACUAUUUUGUUCUAAAACAUAAAUAAAAUAGUGAUAAAUAAUGCUAUAUUUUUAAAACCAGUGACAUAUUUUUGUUUUAUAUUUGACUAUAUUAUUUAUUUAUGUAAAAGUAAGAUAAAAUUAAAUUAAAUCUUCGAUUAAUACCUAUAUAAUCAUUAUAUAUCUUUCUAAGUGCAAUAAUUACAGUCUAAAAGCAUUUUAUUAGAUAUUUUAUGUAUAUUAAAAUUACUAUCUUAUAUUUAUAAAUAUUAAAUUAAUACUUACCGAUUCAUUCACUAAUUGAACCAGUGACCAAUUGACUCAAUUCCUUCGUGGGAGCCCUUGUCCCACCAAAUUUAAUAACUAUGGUUUUAGCAACCCUAGCCAGCCCACAUUCCUUUUUUUUUUUCGGGCUAGACUAAUUCCACUCCGGCCUGGAAAAGGAGGUCCCACUCCACUCCAAGCACAGUAACAAGGGGGCUCGAAUCUUGAUUGUCCAGAUAAAUCUAUCAUAUUCUAAAGAGAGAAAGCUGACCGCUCGAGCUGAUCCUCGUGUACGUUAAUUUUGUAGUAUGACAUAUGGAAUGCGCAGAAGACUCAGAACGGAUAGGAUGUCACGCGAUUUGCAUGAAAUGAGGGUCUGCUAACGUUAAAUGUGAACAGAUAGCGUCCAUUUGACGGACUUGUCAGCUGGGGACAAGUCAAGGAGGUCAGCUUAAUUUGGCACCGGUACUUUUGGUUUAAUUCUAGUGUGGACAGAUGCAAUACUACAAAAAAUGAGGUCAUUUUUUCAUUUUGACCUAGCUCCAAUCCAUCAGUCUUAAGAGCAACAAUGGCGUAUGUUAAAAGAGAAUUUAAGAAUUCACCUAGUACUUAAAUGGAAAAAUUCAUAUCAUUAGAUUUCAAAGUGAAUAAAUUUACUCAUUAAGCUGUUAUAACAUAAUUUUUGUGUUUUUUUUUUCUAACAACUGAAUGAGGUUCAACUCUGAUCUGUGCAUCUAAGAAAACUCUAAGAAUUAACUCAUAAGGAUACUUGCCAGUGUUGGGUGCGUUGGGUUAAUUUCAUUUUGUACCCUUGAACAAUAUCCGAAUUUUCACUUUGAUUUCUAAAUUUCAAAAUGGGACGCAUUAGUUUAAUCCCUAUAUUAUAAAAUUUGUCAUAUUUAAUCCGUAAAGUAUAGUACUUUUGCCCAAUUUAGUCCCCAAAGUAUACCCGCUAAGGUAUAAAAUCUGUCCCACUUCCUUGAGUAAGACAAAUUUUAUAGUGUAAGAACUAAAGUGUCUUAUUUUAAAGUUUAGGAAUUAAAAUGAAAAUUUGGAAACAGUUGAAGGGGUGCAAAAUGGAAUUAACCCGGGUACGCUUGAUUGAUUAGUUAUCCAUCCUUAAGAAUGGAGGGGCUUUCAUGCCUGCAUCAUUCACGUCAAACUUCAUGAGAGCCGGACUGGGUUUGUAUUAUUUGGGGCUUCCAAUAGUUAUGACCAAUAACAAAAUUACCCAAUUAGAGACUCCAUCUUCUUCCUAUAUUGCCUAAAAAAUGAAAGGAAACAAGAGUACAGUGGUAAAAGAGCAUGAAACUCAACAACUAGAAGCACAAGAUAACCAUCUAGAAUGCCAGGCAUCCAAUUUAGAAAGGGAGCAUGCAGCAAGUUAAAGGUAAAACAAGUAAAAGCAUGUGGUAUUUCAAAAUAAUGCAGCAUAUACCAUCCACAGAAUUUGUUUACUAGAGAUGAGCUAAAAUAUCUACCAUGAAAAUACACCAAGAUUAAGGAGCUAAUUCAAUACAAUGCAAGAAAAGUAGCAAUGUGUCCAUAUAAAACACUAAUGGAGACAAUAACACCUCUUUUACAGGCAAAAAGUGGCCAAGAGUCCAAGAUUCGACAUAAACUUUAACAGGUUCCUUUACUCAAAGUCUCCUACACAGAAACUGUGUUCUCAUGUUGACCAGUUAUAUCAUACAGUGCUAAAUAUAAAUCAUUGGUGCAGAAAAGUCGGUUUUUGGGCUCAUACUCCCAUUGAGAGCCAUCACGGGACAUGACUCCUAUACCAGUAUGUGAUAUACAUAAAUGUAAGUACCAUUCAAUGCUGAGACAACUAAUACAAAAUUUAGACUAACUUGGAUGCACCACUUGACCAGUAUAUAUCUCCACAAACAAUAAAAGAAUUUAAGUAGCUGCAGAUAUCCUAAGAAAAACCCAGAAACUUGGAUUGCCAUUGGAAAAAAAGAAGUCAACAACUUCAAGAUAAAUGGCAUAUCUCUGAUUACAUAAAGAAGCAAGAAUCAGGGAAAAUCAAGUCAAAGGGUGGUUCCUUGGUUUCUCAUCAUCAUCUUCUUCUUCCUCCUUUUUUCACUUCUCAGAAGAAAAUUUUGGACACUCAAAUGACAGUAGAAACUACUACGGGAAGCAUACACAUCUUAUCAAAUGGACCGAGCUAUGGCUCUAACAUUUCAAACAUUAAAGAUGAAAAAUUGAAAUCCUGAAAAAUUAGAUCAGCAGCAAAAUAAAUCUUUCUUUAGGGUGAUUAAAAUUAAAAUCUUUCCUAAGAUGAGGGAGUACAAAGUAAUCAACUGUUUAAGAAUAAGUAGCAAAUAGAUCUCUAGAUUUUCUCCCUACUUUGAGAAGAGUUUAAUUAGCACAUUCAUUUGUAAGCUUGAAACCAUCUUAAGAGUUAUUCUAUUGGCAUUAUGUCACCUCAUAAUCUUCAAGUAUUCAUUUCAUUGACUCACAUGGAGCAUGUACAACAUAAAAGCAACUGCCGCAUAUUUUCCAAAAAUGCAUCGGAUAUAAAAGCAUAGCAGCAAUGCAAGAACAAACAUGUGAUGGCUAAUCGAGGUCCAAUUCAACAAGAAACUUAUAUUGAUAGCGAUUUUCUAUCUACGUUCAGUAAUUUAAUUUUUCCGUCAUGUUCCUUGUACAUAUUUACUAUUUGCAGGUGUUAAGAUCCAGAUAGCAUGUAUUUUAAUUGGAAAAGCACGUGAAACAGUAUGUAUACGCUCAAUUACACAAAGCAAGUGCCUUAACAAUGUUUGAACAGAAUAUUUCCUGUCAGAAUGGUGAAUCAAGGUUACAGGCAACUGAUCAGGAAAUGCUAUAGGGUAAAACAUCAUAAACUACAUAUCUCAGCAAACAUACAGGAAUGUAAAAGAAUUAAUUUUCUGCCGACCAGAAAAAUAAAAACCUGAAAAAGAAAAACAACCAGUUUCAUGCUUAAUUGCACAUGUAAACCCCACUUGCAAACCUGUCAUCCACCUCAUAAAAAUCUGUCUUACCCUCAGAAGCAGGACGCAGAGAAAUUCCAGACAAAGAUUUACUUCCUUGUCCUGAAAAUUUAACAUGGCAAACCACUUCAAAAUCUAUAUCAUCAUCUUCAUCACCAAUAUCCACAGGCAUCCUCACUCUUAAUCUACCAGGAUUGCCCUUAAGGGGAAUCUCAGGAACAUGCCAUUUGAUUUCCUUCUCAGACCUAUUCAAGACUGCUUUUGGUGAAACCUUCAACAGUGUUGGGUCUACAGGCAGUUUCAGGACAAAUGUCACAUCGUUCAGCGGUGCUGGUAAAUCUGGAUUUGACACAUAUUGUAUCAUUACAGAAAGUAAAGUCCCACUGAGACGUUUGACAAGUCUAACCCUCAAAGGCAAUGGAGUCAAACGUGGUAACAAACUAUACUUGACAAUUGGAAUAGGUUCUCCUGAUGGAGCAGUCCUAACAUGGAACAAACCAUUUCCAAGGCUACUUACACGUGAGCUUUGCAGUACAAACCUCUUAACACUGCCUGUAUUCUCAACUUUAAAUGAAAACUCAGUCUCUCUAUCAUCAGAAGGCUUUGGAGGUAAUGUCCUCAAGUAAACAACACCCGUCAAUCCAACUCUAGCAAGCAAUGAUUCCCUGAACUCUGCACUAAUCUCUUCUGCAAUGUACAUUUCCGGACCCUUCAUUUCAGUUUUCUUUACCAACACAUCCUCGAGAUUCUUACCAGCACCGUCAGCAGCAGCUGCAGCAGUCUUGACUGGCGGAUCACUAGUUUCUAACAAUUCAAGCCCACCAAGCCCCUCAUGUUUCUUGACCUUCUUUGACUCCACAUAAUCAGAAGCAUCCAAUCCCCCACCCCAAGCAUCACUAAACCCUUCGAAGUCUUCGCGUAACGUUGACCCGUCAUUGCUAAACUCAAUUCCGCCAUAGUUCCCUUCAAAGCCUUCAACACCUAUAUGCGUGGACUCAGUAGCCGCAGCAGGUGGCAGUGUAGUAACCUCAAGCCCCGCCAAUGCCUUAGUCAAAUCUGAACUCUGAUCCUUGUCCUUCUUAAACCCUUCCACAAGAGACGCAGGCUGGUUAAUCUUCUCACUGGCUGCAAAAGGAUCCUUCUCUUCCUCCUCCUCCUCUACCUCACCUUCUUCCUUCUCAUCACCCUGACCACCACUGAACGCCAUCGUGGCAGCCACUUCAUCCCCAGCCUCCAAAGUCUCCUGAGGCAAUUCAAACACAGCCUUGGAGAAUGCUUCCAAGCCACCCUCAUGUUCCACAGAAUGCACCUCUAAAUUAACCCAACUAUCCGCCCCACGGAUUUUAUUCUCCGUAUUGAUAGCAGAAUGCACCAUUUUAGCAAUGCUAUCACCGUGCAUGGUGGCAAGCAUUGCCGCAAGCCUAAUGCUACUCACACCCCUCAAAACUAUAUCCAAAGCCAUAUAAAUUUCAGCAUAUUUCUUACUUAACUUCUCAGGGGUAACAUCUACACCCCGGCAAGCCGUGACAACAACACUAACAGCCUGAUUAACAAUACUAAUGCAUUCAAAAACAUUAUUAUUGGUCUCAUCAGCAGUAGUAAUUCCCAAAACAUAAAUUGAAUUAACUAAACGGUAAACGACCCGAUACCGGCUUUCGACGCCCACAAUCACUUGACCGCUCGAGGCGGCAAGUGGGUCGUCACCGAGGGAUGAAGGGUCGGCGGAGGAGUUGUCAGAAUUGGAGGCGACGGCAGCGGAUUGUUGUUUAGAGGAAAAUGCUAAGCGGGUUUUGCGGAAUGCUGAAAGGGCCAUCAGGGCCCGAGAUGGGGGAAACCAUUCACGGGUUUGGAGCAAAACGUCGGGCCCAUUUGUGGGUUGAAGGGAUAGUGCUAAACAGGACAUCGGGGUUUAAUCUGGAUUGGAUCAGAUCUUACGAGGUUUUUCCUUUGUAUAAUUCUUUUUGAGUUUGGAAAUGAAAUCAAAGGUAAUGGGGAUUGAAUACUUACUUGAAUGAGAAUUUGAGCUGGGUAUCGAUGAUUUUGGAGCUUCCUGUGAUGAUUGUUUGUUUAUUACAGAGAUCGGAGCUCUGGUGCGUAUGAGAGAGAGAGAGAGAGAGAGGUGAAAGAGGAAAGGCAGAAGGAAUGGACCCGGGUAGACGAACCUCAAAGAAGGUUUGGGCUGGGCUGAAAGUUGGAUCUUUGGGUGGGUUGGGGUAAAUUUAGGUUAUACAAUCAUUGGCUGAUUUUCUCCCCUUUUUUUUUUUGUGAUAUAAUUGAAUCAAUUCUUUUCACCUUAUUAUUCAAUCCAACCCUUCUUCUUAUUUAAUCCAACCCUUCUUCGAUUUUCUUCCUUUUAUAAUGUCGUUUUUCUUUAAAAGUUGAUAAUUUGGUUAAUUUAUUUUACUCGUCUUCCUUUUGUUCAAAUGAACCGCAAAGAGACUUUUUUUUGGUUGAAAAAAAAAAGAAAUUACAAGAACGUGUUUUUUGGUACAAAAAGUAUUGGUUGAAAAAAUUUUGAACGAUUUUGGCUCUAGUCAUAAGUAGAUUCUAGUUAGUGACCAUUGAAGUGUGCUUAAUCUACUCUCUCUUUCUUUUUUUACUCGUCUCGGGCAUGCGAGUUUUUGUGAAAAAAUAGUCCGAUCUUACCAACUAUAAAGCAUGUUAAAGGUACAAAAUGUCUCUAUGCACUUUGAAUUCAGUCCUUUUUGUGCAUUUUCAAUUAUGGAACUUAGAUCAUGGGUUUGGGCCAAGUUAGUGAAACCUUGAACUACUUUGCCUUAAUUGGCCUUCAGGGUCAGUGGAUCUAUUUCCGGCGCAACAGUACAUUUGAAAGAGACUGGUGUACUCUCUGUACAAAUAAUUGUACAUCUCAAGAAACUUUUCCCGAGCUGGAAAGCCAGUACUAAAUGAUUUACGAACCCUUUGGCGCCUUGCCUAUUCAAAAUUCCAAAUGCGGUACCACCAAUGAACCCAGCAGCCCUCCUGCAACACCCUCUUCCCACCCGCACCACGAAAUGCACCACCGGUUGCCCAAUCCUCGACAGCUUCUUACACGGCGGCAUCCCUUGCAACUCAAUUACAGAGAUAGUCGCCGAGAGCGGCUGCGGCAAAACCCAAAUCUCCCUCCAACUCCUCCUCUCUGCUCAACUUCCGACCUCCCUCGGUGGUCUCUCCGCCUCCUCGCUUUACCUCCACUCCGAGUUCCCCUUUCCCUUCCGCCGCCUCCACCAGCUUGCCCUCUCAAACCCCACUCUCCAAAAUCCGUUAGACAAUAUACUAAUCCAUCCUUUACAUUCUGCGGACCACCUGCUCGACUUAUUGUCCCGCCUGGAUCCCCUCCUUGUACACCCACCACCGCAGACCCGUCUCCCUAUUAAACUCAUUGUUAUUGAUUCCAUUGCUGCUUUGUUUCGUUCUGAAUUUGAUAAUAACCCGAGUGAUUUGAAGAGGAGGUCGGGUUUAUUCUUUAAGAUUUCGAGCAAGCUCAAGGCACAGGCAAUGCGGUUUGGACUGGCUGCGGUGGUUACUAAUCAGGUUACGGAUAGUGUCGAUUCUUCGGAUGGAUUGAGGAUUGGGAACUCUUGGUUUCUUUAUUCUUCUGGGAGGAGGGUCUGUGCUGCACUUGGGUUAUCUUGGGCUAAUUGUGUGAAUACAAGGCUCUUCUUAUCGCGAGAUGAGGAAAAUGUUAAAGACGAUGAUGGUGACAUUGUCAAUACAAGAACGAGGACAAGGAGAUUCAUCAGCGUUGUAUUUGCGCCGCAUUUGCCUCAUUCAUCAUGUGAGUUUUUUAUUGCAAAAGAAGGGGUUUUGGGGUUUGAUAGUUGCAAUGACUUCCAUUUAGAAAAUAGAGAGCUCUAAUGAUGCAAAAGGUGAUGAUAAAAGAGGCAAAUCUGGGUUUUCUUCCCUUGUCUUUUUUACUUUAAUUUUUCUCUGUUUUGUAAUUAAUGCGAUCGGGCUGAAGAAAAAUGUAAGAGAAGUUUUGCAAUAGACUGGGGAAAAUUUCCCACUGUUGUGGGUUUUGUACAGCAUGUAAAAUUUCAUUUAAUUUGUGAGACAUCAUUCCUCUUUGCUCGAGGUAUUCUCUGAAUCUGUGAAUUUCUGUAAUGCAUUGACAAAUAACAUGGAAUUUUUUUUUUAAGACCCCGAAAAUGGUAGUUUUCCUAACGAUAAUCAAUAAAUAUUCACAGAGAACACUGAAGUGAGAGGCACUUGAUUACAUUCAAUUUACCAACUGAAGAACUGCAUUCGAUCUGCUGAACCAGUAUGUUGCAUACAAUGUGAAAACCUCUAUUAUAAGGACUAAAACAACCACAUGACUUAAAUUCUAUCGAUAUUACGCCUCAUAUUUGAAGCUCAGACUGAAUGGCUGUACUUUGUCCAUGCCCCAUACUCGUUCAACAUUUUGGAACUUGUGUUGAAGUCCCCAGGAUCUCUGCUAGUUCAUUUCUCCCUGACAAAUAACUGUGAAUGCAGCAACUGAUGUUCAGCAUGCUUCAUGGUAGGUGGCCCUCUUUAAACUGGAAAACUCUUGGUAACUAAAUGGAACGUCUUUUGAGUAAUAUAUGAUGAAUACUUGCAAUACUCGUAUCAAGGUCGCCCUGUUUAAGUUUCUCAUCGGAUUAAUGAAAUAAAAGGUAAAUUGUAAAAUCAGGGAUCAAACUGAAAGUAUAACACGGCAGGAAAGAAUUUUUAAGAAGUCUUUCUUUGCUUGCAAGUUGCAAUCGUUAAUUUAUUGAACUUCGUUUCCGGCCAAAUUCUAUUUUCCUUUUUAGUACAUGGCCGAGUUACUCAAACCUGUCACCAAUGCAGGCAAUCAGUAGAUUUUUUGUGCUUGGGUUCUUUGGAGACUGGCUAAUUUCAAAAAAUGUCCCAUCAAAGUUUGAUGCAUAACAGCAAGCUUGAUUAUUAACUUCAGCCAGUUAACACGAGAUCCUAAAGAAUUUGAAAAGAGUGAAGACAAGUGCCAGAGUUGCCCGUGGUCACAUCUCCAAUUAUCUAAGAGAUGCAAACCCCACCCCCACCCCUCACCUAAAAGGAAUAUAUAAUUAUGUUUUUCUGUGUAAUGACGCGCAAAGACAAGAUACUGAAACAAUUAGAACAAGGGAGAACAGGCAGGAAGAGAAGCUAUGGUCAUAAAACAUUUCUGUGAGUAGGGAAAGAUUAGGUAAACCCCCACUAUUUUUUAUUUCCAAACAACAAAUUUCAUUACUGAACAGCAAAAUACAUCCUACACCAAGAAGGAAAAUAUUCUCCAAGAGGGAAUCUUUUUAGCAGGUGCCUGAUUUGUACUUCUAAAAAUAGCAGUGUGUGAAAUGAUCACAUGCUAGUAGCCCAAUAACGGAGAAACACAGACUACUGUCGAUAAAGUCACAAGCUUACCUGUUUUCAUGCUCAUUAUCAAUAAGCUACAACUUGGUCUCAGUUUGAGUAGAACAGGAAAGGAACUGCAAAAAUAUAAAGACAAUUAGCCAAAUAAAAAUAAAGCAACAACAACAACAACAUUCAAAAUGAUCCAAAGCUGAAAUUUUUACUCUUUCCUUUCUCCACCUAACAGUAUGCAGCCUCCUCAAUCAGCAAGCAGAACAACAAGGCUAUAACAUCAAGUUACCAUUUACCAAAAUUCAUUUCCAAUAAAGAAGUUAUCAUCUUCCUAACUUUAUAAUUAUCUUGACCUAAAAGUGGUGAACCUAUUCCCAAACCCCAAAACAGGUAGCAAAACCAGCAAAUAAGCAAUGCACAGAGCCUCAACAAACUAAUAUAGUCAAAUUCUGCAAACCCACAAAUAAGCGAUGAACAAAGAGGUUCUAUAAACAACUACAGUCGAAUUCUGUACAUCUACCUGCCAAAAGCUUAACAGGUAAACAGUAUUGCAUAUCACUAUGUUUACAGCAAUUCAAGGUACGGAUUGCCUAGACUUCCUAUGCUUUGGAGGAAAAUUGUUAUGUACCUAGUUUGUAGAAUGUUUGAUAUACUUGGUAAGUACUCAAGAGAGUACAAAAAGAAGUAACUAAUGCCAACACCACUUCACAAUGAUAAUGAUGCAAAUUCAACAUUUUGGCCUUCCUAUAGGUAAAGCAGGUCUUGGAGAAGGAUGCCAAUCAUGUCCACGAUGUUUUAGAUUGUUACGAUAAUAGAAGAUAUCCUUUAAGCAACACAAAACUUGAAAGUUAACCAGACCAGUUUGUAAAGAAGUUUGAGAGGUAACUACAAUAAAACAUGGGAUAAUUUCAGAAACCUCCCCUGAGGUUUCUGACAGUCUCACUCACCUCCCCUGAACUUUGCAAAAUAUCAGAUACCUCCCCUGUCAGGUUAUUGGGCCCUAUUUGUGAUAUCAUUGAUGAUGAAUUGACAGAUAUACCCUUAUAACUUAUGAUAUAUUUCGAAACUAUGUUGACAGAAUUAGUUAAAUGAGUAAUACGAAUGAUUAACCAACUUAACUACAAUUUAGAUGCAAAACUAAUAGCGAAUGAUUAACCAACUUAACUAUUAUUUGCUCUUUAUCGUUGGUUUAGCUGUGCACAAAGAGCUAUUGGCUUCUACCUUCCAAAAUGCAAUAGGCACCUUGCCUUUUCCAUCAAUUUCAGAUUUCAUUGUUGUUAGAUGGUUUGUACUGUUCAACAAAAAUUAAAAGUCACUAAUGAUAAUCUUGAGGGCAGAUGUGGGAUGAAGUGUUUUUCUCUCUCCUGAUAUAUAUUUAAAAUUGUUUGUGCAUUUGAAUUGGGUGAGAUUUGAUACACUCUACUUAGUUUUAGGGGAGGUGAGUGAAACUGUCAGAAGCCUCAGGGGAGGUUUCUGAAAUUAUCCCAUAAAACAUUUAGAAAACAUGUAGCAGCCAGAGAAUGGUAUAAUGUUAUAUUAGCAUUUGUGCAGAUUUUAAGGUAAUUACAAACUAGAUGGGGUUAAAAAAGAGUAUCCACAAGUUAAGCAAUUCUCUUCUUAUAUGCUAAUCCUAACCAGCAUCUGUGGCUGAUAGUAGAAAUCAUAAUUGUCCGUAAAGCAGUGUGGUUGAAUAACAUGCCAAUAUCCUUAGCAGAUAUACAGUUGAAAUCCAAGACAACAAAGUCAACUUCCUGACUUAAGAACAAAAAUCAAUUAGCAGAGAAUCCUGUCACCAUAAAUAUUCGCCCCUCCUCACAUUCAUUUAGUCAGUUUACAAGAGUCCAGGGCAGGAGUAAUAUUAAUUUGAUUUACAGUGACAUUUUACAAUCUCAUUAAGAACUACUCAAUUGAAAUGUCUUCUAUCACCUUGCAAGGUUCUUGGUUUUAAUCAGAAUCCCUGAGUUCUAUGGGGUUUUUUAGCUACUUAUGGUCACCCUAUCUGGUUUUUUAAUGUUUCCCACCACUUAAUAAGAGAGAUAACUGCACAAAAUCUUACUAUUUUACUGAAUGAUGGAAAAUUAUACUGAAUCAGUUGCAAUGGACCUGGAAACGGGUUCAUUGAUGAUACUUGAAUGUGGAGCAGAAUGAGAACUCACCAAUUAGAAAAACAGCCAACAUGAAAACAAGUGUGAAUCGGAUAGAACAAUUGAAUGGCACCAUUUGAUGGGUUUGUGAUUGUCUCUGAAUUCUAGGCAAUCGUCCAAAGAGCUACAAAACAAUGAACUCUUAUCAGAUUUUUCAACACAAAACAAACCUAGUGAACCCAUUAAAAACUCUUCCUGACUCUAACAGUAUUAAUACUUUAAAAGACAAACAACAAUUGCAAAUUGAUGGUAGUGCAUUUGUGUGGAUGCAUCUCAAAACAUAUAAACAGCAAUAGACAGGUAAAUUGUUUCCACAAUAGUUAUUAACUGAUUAUAACAAUCCAUCUGUGAAGACAUAAAUUAACCUGAUUCAUCCAUUGGAUCCUCCUCCACAUACUGUUGCUUAACACUCCUCCCUUUGCUUGAGGAUGAUCUUCACCCUUUGGCCUCCAAAAAGCUGGUUUGAACCCUUUCUCUUUUGGUGUCGCCUCAAUGUUCAGUGCUUUUGUUUCCAUUUGCCCAUCCCUGUGGUCAAUCACAAUCUCCAGUUUGCUCGAAUCCGGUGAACUCCUUAUUCUCUCAGCAUUAAGCAUCAUAUCUUGCUGAUGACUCAUACUAUCUCCAGUUCCAGGGCUUCCUUUCAUAUCUAGUUCAACAACACUGCCCAAAUCAACAAUACACCGAGAACUUGCCGUAUUUGGUUUUUCUCCUUCCACGCCAAUAUCAGCAUUAGUAUUAAAGUUCUUUCUAGUCCUCUUCUGGGGAGAUCCAGUCUUGUUUGUUCCAAGCUUGUCGGCCCCAUCACUCAUGCUUUGAGAGUUCCAAAGGGGCCCCGAAAGAAACAAUGCUAAGUCAUCACGUUCUUUUUCAUCUAAGUUUACCCAUCGAAGGGACUGCUUACCAUCCACAUCAAAUGAUUCACUUAAUGCUGCUUCAACACGGGAAAUUUGGUUUUCUAUAGCAGAAACAAAUUGCCUAUGCCUAGUCAUUGUUACUUCAUCAGAACUUCUUCUGUAGCUCAAAGUAACAGCCUUUUCAAACUCUUCCAACUAAUCAGGGAACCACAGUACAAUAAAACAAAAGGUUACUGAAUGACCAUUAAAGCCACUAGAAACUUUAACAGGAUGCACAAUCUAUGAAACUAGAAAAAGUAGCAGAGAAAGCAUAAAUCCACGUAAACUAACAAAGCUAUAAGCAACCAAAUAUUGCUACAGUAAUGUCUUUAUAGCUAACUUUACAGCAUUAGAUAAUAGUCACUUGAGUGGAAAAGAUCAUUUUUUUUCUUAUUUUCUUUGUUUCAAGCAUCAACUAACCUGCCAUUUUGCAGUGCCCAAAGCCAUCUGAAGUUCCCUGGAAAGAUCAUCCCAAAUUUGAGGUCUCAUUCCUUCUUUCCUCUCUCUCAGCCAUGUCCUGUAAGCCGAUUCCAUUCUGGCAACCAAAAAAUAAAUCAUAUAUACUUGAACACAAACUGAAGAGGAUGCAAUCUUCGGACAUUGUUUUAAUAACAGAACAACUAUACAGUGUCAACAAAUUGUCCAAAAUAUGGCCUUCCACAACAAAAUACUGAAAUAAUAAUAAUAAUAAAGAAACUUAAGAAAUUUCUUAUGAGCAUUUCCCGGAAUUCUAAAAAGCACCAAGUAAAACUCCCGUACUUUAUGCAAUCAAAACCAGCUUCUUAACACCCUUCGUCAUAUUAAGAAUAUUAAGACAAACAUUUGAAUCAUCCGCAUCAAAAACGACAGAGAAAAGGACAAGUAUGACUGAAGCAAAAGGUGAAUUUUCUACCAAAUGGACAAAAAGGGAGGAAAAAAAAAGCAAAUCAAACCCCAGAAAAUUAAGUACAAGAAAAAUAGAGUAACCAACAGAAAAAAGAAAGGAUAAUUAAGUUGAUGAACAUACAUAUCGGCUGAAUGUUGAACUUCUUCAGCUGCAGAGAAAAAGGUGUCCCUUUGCCACAGAUCAAAACUGUUGGCAACCAACAUCUUUUCUUCAAAUUCUUUCCUUUCUCAGCAAACAAAAUACAAUCAAUAACUUCAAAUAUAAAUGGGCUUUUCUCUAAUUUGUAUAAAUAUUGAUAAACUAAAAAAAAUGAUGAAUUGAUGGAAAAGAAAAUGGCAUGAAAAAAAAAGUUUUCUGCCUUCACUUCUUUGCAGAAGGGGUGAAGCAAAGAAGGAAGAGAGAAAAAGAAAGUUAGGCAAUAGAAAGAGAGAGGGAGAAGAGAGAGACGUAGGAGCGAAUCCCUUCUUCCUCACUCCCUCUUUCUUUUGUUUUCUGAAAAUUCGUGUCCGCUUCAAAGAAAGGUUUCUAUGCUUGGUUUCCCAAUUUUUAGCUCUUCUUCGGUUUUCUGUUGGCCGCAAAUGUGAGUUUCUAUCUGGUGUUAUGGGUGUAUUACGUCAAGUAGUGAGUCAACCACUUAAAUAGGCGGCAGUACAAUGGCCUCAUGAAGACAUAUACAAUAAAAUUCCUAAUAAUAAGCAAAGGAAUAUUAGUACUGCUCCAGCUUAAGUAUUAAACUGGUACAGGACUUGAAUGAAUGCUUAAUUGAGAUAAUGAGUAAAUUAAUCAAGGUUGGAUUAGUUUUUUUUUCAUUCAACUAGAAGGUAUGGAGACGGCCUUUUUGCUUUUAUAUCUAUUUGUUUCGAUUAGUGAGAUUUGUGUACUCAAAAACAUGUUCGUUUUAAACAUAUGAAUUUAAACUACUUAAAUUAAUCUUUUGCUACAUAUUUUGGCACUUAUCCAACCUUACCGGUGCAUGCAUUAUUUGUGUAGGUAGGAGUAGGUUAUUUUUAAUUUGAAGAUUUGUUGGACCAAUUUCAUAUUGUUAUUCUUUUUUAAGGUCAAAUGCCUCUCUAUAUACUCUAACAUGUUCCCCCCCCCCCCCCCAAUUUUUUUUAAAUAAUUGGCAGCUUUUAUGGUAUCUUACAUUUAUGAGGAGGAACCAAACCAACUUGUAUAAGAAAUCGGAGAAUAUUUCCAUUUAGAUCAAGGAGCACACUGGUAUAUUUUCUGUACAUUUUUAUUUUAUUUUAUUUUAAGUGCAGAGAUUUGAACUAUCGACUUACAUCUCAAUAUGAGUGGUUUUAAAUUUUUUUUUUUUUUGGUGAUCAAUGGAUUUUUUAAUCACGUUUUUCUGCUCUUGAACUUGAUUACACAUUAAAAUUUUCUUUCUAAGGGUAAAAAUUAGCCUUAUAUCUUUUCUUUUUCUUUGUUGCAGUUUAGUUGUUAUUGAGUAUUAAAUUCAUAAAAGGAAACCAUAAGUAGAUUCCAAGGUAGACGAAAUUAGAAUAGACUUUUGAGCUCUCACUGAAGAAUAUCAUCAUUGAAGAAUUGAACCAUAAGUAGGAGGUUAGGCACCGAGUUUUGAUCAUGACAGGUUCACAAGUUUGGACUUUGGGUUGGACGUGUUGCAUUGCCACUGGCACAGCUGAGGUCGGUCGUGAGCUGCGUUGGACUCGAUCACAACCCUGAUUAAUAUUACUACUAAGUAGGGAGACCGUUUAUUUGAUACUAGUAUAUAGUAAAUAAUACCGAGGUCCUAAAAAGGCGUCGUCGGUUAAUGAGGACAAAAGAUGGUGAGUUGGGAAUUGUUUUUUGUGGGAAAUGAGGAGUCGGAGGUUGCCCAUUACCAAAAAGCAUAGCACUUGCUCUUGAUCCUCAUCAUUAUUAACCAUACACUACUUUGGAAGAAAGAAAAAAAAAUUUUAAAAAAAAGAAGGGCAUAUAGUAGAAGAAAGCUGAGUGGGUUUGAUGGUGUUGGCCACAGGGCCACAGGCAGGCCAGCCAACCACUCUCCGUGCGUGGGAGGGUCCAUUCAGCCACCGUAAGCCGGAAAGCCAACCGGGAACACAUGGACCUCAAAUUCCCCAAAAUGUUGGCUGUGAGCCAUCAUUGCUGCUAUUCAGCUUGUGAGGUUUUUGAUUCCCAAUUUAGGUCACAUUUGGAGUUGCGGUGCAUUUAUAGAAAAAAAAAUUAUUUUUAAGCACUAACUAAAAUUAUUUUUAGGAUAUUUAGCAAUUAAUUUUUCGUAACUUAAAUAUUCCAAUUUUUGGUAACCUGAAAGUAAGGGUGUAUUUUGAUUGAAAUGUUUUGGAAUAAAAUAAUUUGUUUCAUAAAUUUCAAUCACCUUGUUACCUUUCCAAUCACAUUUUUAUCUCAUAUACAUCAUCAUAUCAUAAAAAGUGCUACAGUAAUUAUUUCAAAUAAAUCAUCCAGAUAAGCAAGAUUUUGCAGAGCAUUUCGCUAUAUUUUUCUUGGUAUAACUCACUAAUUAAACAUUUAUCAGUUGAUUAUCUACAUUCAUCUCGUGUUCCGAACCAUAAUCUUAUUAAUUAAACAAGGUUGGUGCAAUGGUGUAUAUCCAUAUAAAAUUUCAUUUAGUCUUUCCUGCGAAAGGAAGAAUGUAAACGCAUGCUUGAUCCAUGAUUUGUUUUUGAUAAAUAAUUUCUUAUUAUUACAAUGAUGCAAACAACAAAAAAAAAAAAACUAUUGUUUGUAGAUUAUAGAUGUCAAUUAAGCAUAAUUGCGAAUGUGGAUGGUAGAGUAUGGGACGACAAAAGUUUAAAUGGUAGUACUAAUUAUUGAGCCCUUAUAAUUCCGUGAUAAGUGACAGUAUUUUAAUUUUAAUUAAGGCGUGGUUGAUUGCCUUGACGCUUUGACGGGUAUUUUAUGUUGUCGGAUUGCAAGUGGAUGAUGAUGAGAAAGAAUUUUGCUCUGUCACGCGGUCCAACUCAUCCAGUCAGCAGCCACCAGCCACCAGCCACAACCAAAUGUACCAACCCAGUCAGAAGUCAUAACCAUAAGUGACAACCUCUGUUUAACCACCAAAUACAAACAGGAGAGUAUGCCCUCUCACUUUAGAGCAAAUGUCACAUAUUUUUGCCACUAAACCUGUUAUUUAGCCAAAACGAUCAUUCAACUAAUUAAAAUAUACAUUUUGUCACCAAAAAAGUAUGUGUUGUCAUUAGUUGAGUGAUUAAAAGGAAAAACUUUUAAUAGUCGGGGUGAUCAAAAAUAUACUUUUUAAUUUGUUAAAUGACUAUUUUGACUAAACAAAAAGUCUAAUGACUAAAAUAGAAAAUUCUAAAUAGUUCAGAGGCUUUUUUGCCCACUUAUUCCUUUCUUUAUUUAACUGUUCUAUCCUACCUAAAGAAGGCAGAAGGAUCAUCUUACUAAGUCCAAACUAAACACUGCAAUUGUACUAAUAAUAAUGUAGCAUUUCUCCACUUUGCCAAACCGAAGAAUCACACUAAUGAUACUAGUAAUGUAAUGAAAAUUUUGAAAGAAGACAAAAGAAAAGAAAAGAAAAUCUUUGCACGUACCUUUCUCCAGUUGUAGAGUUUUUUUUUUCGUUUUUUUUUGGGUAGAGGGAGAUAUAUAGUCAAAUUGUUCUUCAUAAUGGUAUUCAUAGCUCAAAAAAUUACAAAAAUAUGUACAUGAUGCUUUUCUUUUUAGUAACUUUUUGGAUAAGUAAAAUGGGCGACGUUCUUCAAUGCGUUAUCGACCGGAAGGUUGGGCAAGAAAAAAUUCCGUUCACUUUCACAAGGCCAAUAUUUAGAUCCCUUGUUAACACCGGAAUUGUAAUACUUAUACCAAAUAGUAGGGUGUCAACGGGUCGGGUUCUGAUUAGAAUUGAAAUUUUCGGAUUCGAAUCCGUUUUUUAUGUAGUUGACUCAAAUCCGACCUAUACAUCCGACGGGUAUUGAUUUUAGAAUUUUGGAACCGGAUUUGAUGGGCUCCAGGUCGGAUCCAGAUCUACCCAGAAAAGAAGAUGUCCAAAUUUAAAUAUUCCAAAAUUAAAUCCAAAAUCAAUCACAAAUCCAAUUUCCAAACUUAAACAAAUCAAAUUACAAAACUAAAUCACAAAUAACUUGCAACAAUCAAUUUGAAACUAAUCACAAAUCAAUCUACAAAAUCAUUACUAAAUUAUUAAUUUGGUAAAAGAAUGUAUUUACAAAUAUUUAUAUUUUAUAAUUAUUAAUUUAUUGUUCGGGUCAGAAUCAGAUACGGGUCAGAAUCCUAUAUUCCAUAUCUGACUGACCCUUUUUUUUGGUUAGAGUAAACGAGUCUAGAUCUGGGUUCGGUACCGAAAUUAUUUUUUAACCAAAAUUUGAAAAAAAAAAUUAUCGGAUCCGGAUCGGUUUCGGAUCCAAAUCCGAGAUGUUGACACCCCUACCAGAUAUGCAUCAUAUUUACUGUUAGUCAAAGAUGUCCCUGGUUUUUUGCACAUUUGUUUACAUACUGUUACGAUUCAAGGUUUUUCUGAGGGACGCUUCAAGGUUAAAUGUUGUUGGCUUUUAACAUUAAUCAAGAUGGAAUAUGUUUCACCUUAUCGCCGCCUAGAAGUUUUUCCGAGCCGAAACCUCUUAGUACAUGCGUUUUGGUCAAUUCACUGUGCACCUGAUGUUUUUUAAUUGUUAAACAAUGAUGUCUUCCUUUGCAGAAAAUUUUGCUGGUUUAAGUUGUAAAAGCCCCCACAUAAAGGUAGCUUAGCUACUCACGGACUAAGGUGACUACGUGCUCUAAUGAUGAUCGAUAAAGAAGAAGCAUCCUUGUCUGACUUUUGGGGCAUGCAUGGAUUGCCAAUCAGCCAUGCUUCUCAUAUUGUAGCAAGCAAGAGGCAUGAUAAUUAAUCACAACUGUAUUUGUUGAUUUUUCAAAACCUCCUCCGGCCACAGCCCUUGCUCAACAGCCACCACCAUGCCGCCUCAGCCCCGCCCCUGCUACCCUCGCGAUGCAUGUCCGGCGUCUCUUUUUAUGGUCUAUGAUCUUCCAUUAGCACGAGGAAACCUUUAUCGCAGUUGAUAUGUAAUUUAUAUAUCUAUAUUAUGAUUGACAAAAUGUCCACUGCUGCCAGCCUCUUCCUUGCUCCAUAUCUCUAUCAGGACGGGUGUCCGUCUCCAUUGUCAUCUUUAUUACGUCGCAAGAGUCCCUACUUUUCUUCACCAAAGACUUCAUGCUAGAAAUGAAUGACACCACGGAUUUCCCGUCCUCCAAGAUUAAUGAAUAGCACCACAGAUUUUGGAUUAUGACAAUUUUACAAGACUUUCAGCAUUUACUAACAUUCUAUUCAAUACUUUACCCUGUCCCAACGACAUCCUUGCCUAAACAAGAUUACGGUACCUUGCUUACCCAAUCUACGCCACCCACAACAAACAUAUGUACACUCGAAAGCAAAACGAGUUGCAUUAUGACAUAAAUUUGUGUCACUAUUGGGGGUUGUACUCCUUCGAGAAGUUGAAAUUCACGGGGUAGCUCGAGCGGUCCGCUCCUAUUUUUUAGGGUAGGCGACCUUCCUGGCAACCAGGGUUCGAGUCUCGCUGUUAAUGCGCUUGGGAGAUGGGCCCUCUCCACCCGGGUCAGAGUGGGAUUAGUCAGAUCCCGUAAGAAUUGACCCGAACACCCACUCCGUCAGAAAAAAAAAAAAAAAAAAAAAGAGAAGUUGAAAUCCGUACCGAAUCGACGAGUUCAAUUGGUUGAACUGGAAACCAAAUGGGUAAAACCGCUAAACAAAAACCCGAUCAAAAAAUGAGUUUGACCGAAAACCAAAAGAAUCGCUUCGAAUCGGAUUUUUUUCAUCUUUUUUUUUUUAAAUCUUUUUUUGAACUACUCCUAAGUCUCUUCACAUAUCCUACCAUCAAUCUCUCUCAAACAACUCCAAUGGAAGAUCUAAGUUCAAAAAGAGAUUAAAAAAAAAAUGGAAAAACAAAGAAAGUAAAAAAUUCACCUAGAAACAUAUUAUUAAUUUUAUGAUUUGACCCCUAGAGUACAAGAAAACUAUUAUUACACCUAGAAACAUAUUAGAACUUAUAGCUAAAGCCCUAAAUUCUUGUAUUACUUUUCAAAUAAGCCCUCCAAUUUGGUUAUAAACUUGUUGAAUAUGCAUUAAAUGGUAAAUUGCAUAAAUUGCUACUUAAUUAUACUACUUUAUUUGUAUUUUCUUGUAAAGUAUCUUAGAAACAUCAAACAUACAUCGAACUUACCUGUUUUAAUAUUAAUAUUUUAAAAAAAAUUUACAUAAUGUAUUCAUUUUUAAAAUUAAAUAUAUUUAUGAUAUAAUGAUAAUAUCAUCCGAUUCUUGGAUAGAUACCCGUUAACUCCUGAUCUCGAUCGAGUCGAUGGCCGAUCUGAGUUUCAAAACAUUGGAAAUAACCAUAAAAAAUUAUGUAUAAGAUUAUCAAUUUCUCGAACUAGUCACUAACCAUGGAUCAAAGUCAUCAUAAUCAGGAAGGAGAGACAAGAUUAAACACUAAAAUAAUCGCCCAAAAAAACAUCACCCACUGACCCGUACGAUCACAACUCGUAGGGUCAACACCGACGGAGGCUCUCUUCUAAUGGCCACCAGUCAUCAGGACCUAAAACAGUUUUUAUCGACACAAAAUCGAUUCUGAGGGUGCUCACCUCGGCCACCCCGCGUGUCCGAGGUGAAGUCACCUCGUCCCUCAUCAGAGUCCAUCCAGGUCUGGGGCAUCGUCCCAGACCCCGGCCGGAUCCGCAGUCAACCGUGUAGGUGACCUCGGCACCUCCACCUCGGCUGCACGAUGAUGAGGUCAACCCAUCUGACAUCAUCCAGGACCAGUACUUUAUCUGAAAAGCACUGGGAGCACUUAAUGGCACCUGCACCAUGUCCUCCGUCAUCACUCCCAGGCGGCUACAGUGUCAGAGUCAGACUCCCUGACAGGAGACAGAGCCGUAAUGUCAGAGUGGGUCCCACUAACAUAAGUCCAGAGCCUCGCCUCUACUCUCCUAUAAAUACCUCACUCACACUCCCACCAAGUAAGCGGACACUGUUCAUUAACUCAUUCUCAUUAUUCUCGUUCUCAUACUAACUUGAUCGUCGGAGUGAUACCAGGGGAGAAGCCCCGCCACUCACUUCGGACAAGGAGGUUCACUUCGGACACAGGAGUUCACCUCACUUCAUCUCAGAGAGGACUGAUCCAGGUCGGUCUAGUUACCAACCAAAAAUCACCUCCUCAAUUGGCGCCGUCUAUGGGAACGAGACUACUAUUACUAAAAUGAGAUCCACGCGCUCCAGAAGUGGUCGAGUUCCCUCAACUGAGGCUGGGCAGACCUCGGGAGCCCAGCAAGAUCGCAUUUCUGAAGAGCAAGGGUCCCCGAGGACCCAGCCUAACAGCGAGGAGGCCAUCGCCAAGAUGGCCGAGUUCGUAUCAUACAACCCUACCAUUUUUGAGGAGCUAGGAAGGUACCUCAAAAGACAAGGGAAAGAAAAGGCCGAGUCCUCCAAGAGGAGGCCGACGAAGUCCCCUGAGGUACCUUCAGGUGAAGACUCAGAUGAGGGGCGACUCUCUCGGAGUACCUCCAGGCGCGCCUCCUCCAAGGCAACGUCUAAACUUGCCUCCAUCUCCCGGGCGCUGUCUCGGAGACUGAUGGGGAAACGAGCUGAGGACCCACCUCGGCGCCCCGGGGGCCUGGCUUCUGACUACAUGAGGGCUCCGCCCUUUACUGAUGACAUCAAUGGGGAGAUGGUACCCCCGAAUUUCAAGCUUCCAAACUUGCCCACCUAUGACGGCCGAGGUGAUCCCGAGAAUCACCUCCGCGCCUUCAUCUCCGCAUUCCGACUCUAUUGCGUCCCCGACGCCGUGAUUUGUCGGGCUUUCCCCAUUUUCCUACAUGGGACUGCCCGGAAGUGGUUCUGGAGUUUGGAACCGGGGAGCAUUUCCUCCCUGGAUGAGCUGAUAGACCGGUUCAUCCACCGCUUCGUGUCGUCUCGACCAAUCACGAAAACUUCAGCUUAUCUCUUGAACCUUCAACAGGGUCAGGGCGAGUCUCUUCGCUCGUAUGCUCAAAGGUUCAACGAGGAGAAUGUGCAAAUACCUGAUCAGAAUGAGCAGGUAACUCUCGCGGCCUUUACCAACGGGUUGGUGGCCGGACUCUUCAACACCGAAAUCCAUCGGGAUUACCCCCGUACACUUCACGAACUCUGGGAAAGAGUGGACCAGGGAAUCCGAAGUGAAGAUGUUAAUCGCAUAAAGCGAGAAACCCAAGCCUCUCGUACGGGACAAGAUACCCGGAGAAGGAAAGACAUCGGCCGAGGUGAACCCGGCCCAAGUGGCACUUCAAAUCCACCCCGGGACCGCCGGAGUGUCUUCGACCGGAUCGUAAAAGGAAGAUCAUCCACCUCGGACGCUGAGCUGACACCACUCAAUUCUAGUCGGUCUCACGUCUUGGCGGUGAUGAGGCAAAAUCACCUCGGCCGAACACCUCCUGAGAUCCCUGGGAGAAGAGAUAAGAGGAACUCCAACCUCUACUGCGCCUACCACCGAGACGUUGGGCACGAGACUGAAGAUUGCAACGAUCUGAACCGAGAGAUCGAAAACCUGAUCCGACAAGGAUACCUGAAGCAGUUCAUCCGCAAAGACGGAAGCUUCAACCGAAGUGCCUCCCACCGGGAGAGCCGAGGUCCUCGCCGAGAGGACAGGCGGGACACCAAGCUUAAUUGCCGAGGUCCUGAGAACCACAAGGGGGAUCAGAGGCCUCCACGUGACGGAUCACCAGGCUACGGCCCAAACAUAGUCGGGGUGAUCAACACCAUCUCAGGUGGCCCCACGGGAGGAGACAGCCAGAACUCCCGAAAGCGGACACUGUUCAUUAACUCAUUCUCAUUAUUCUCGUUCUCAUACUAACUUGAUCGUCGGAGUGAUACCAGGGGAGAAGCCCCGCCACUCACUUCGGACAAGGAGGUUCACUUCGGACACAGGAGUUCACCUCACUUCAUCUCAGAGAGGACUGAUCCAGGUCGGUCUAGUUACCAACCAAAAAUCACCUCCUCAGAUUCAAAUUCACUAAGCCAAAAUGAUGAUGAUUCAGGAGAAACAACUCGAAAAUUUACCUUAAUCACGAAAACUCACCACAUUAUCAUGACCUGCAGCCGCCUGACCAUCAUCAUCAUCAAGAUUACUCCCUCGGAUUGGAUUCAACACUUGAUCAACCUCCCGGAAAGAUACAGUCAGACUGCUCAAUUUUUCAUCAAUAGCAUCAAGCUGGUUAAGAAUAGACGGUGACGGGAGAUCACCAUUGACGACCCCGGAACAUUGAUCAAAUAUAUCUUUCUUACUUUGGAAAGAAUCCUUCGCGGCGUUGUAGAAUUCCAUCUUUUCUUCGAUCUUUGCAACUACUCCGUCCACAUAAUCCACAGCCUUGCUCAUGCUGUCCAGUUUUUGCUGCGUUGUACAGAGGUAGUUCAUCUUAUCAAAAUUUUGCAUGACAUCUUGGGCGAUCUCCGACAGAACCUGAAUUUCAGCACUGACUUGAUCCAUUAGUGGGAUAAAUGCUGGCAGCUCGACAUGAACGGCAUUGCGGAAAUGUUGCUCGGCAGCCCUGAAGCCAUCAAGCAUCUCUUCCAGAAGUAAUCGGCAUUCCGACGUGGCUACUCCGAUGGCCAUUGACGGAGUAGACAACUCAGAUUUUUUUUUUUUCCCUUUUUAAAUUCUCGCAGGAAACCUAGCAUUGACAAUACUACUAACUGCUAACUGGAAUAGACUCCUCAAGUUAAAUAGCGUACAGCCCAUGGAAUCCAUUUUCUUGAUAACUUUUACAUUACCCAACCAUGUUGAGGAAGUAUUGAUAAUCCAAUAUUCUUCACACACAUAAUAUAUAUCUAUAAAAUGAGAAUUUCAAGUUUUCCCUCUAAAUUCUAAAUUAAAAAAUAAAUUGCAGAUUUUGACAUUUAUUUGAUUAUACUCUUGCAAACAAACGAGAUAGGGAUUUGUUUCUCAAAAUUCAACAACGACUUGAUAUAGUGGCAAUGGAUGCUUCAGAAAGUAUAUAAUAAUUCCCUUCCUUUAAAUUCCAAUGAUAAGGUGGUUUCCCUCACGGAGAAAACUGCAACCUGGGCCUCUUUUUUCUAUCUGUUACAUACACGAUACAGGGUAGAUCCCAUGAAUUCUAAUUGACCUACAUUUUUCUCCUGGAUUCAUCACCAGUACAAUAAACAAUGCUACAUAAAAAUGCGUAUUAUAGCAAAAUACACGGCAUUAGGCAUUACGAAAACACUCUUUCCAUUUGAUGAUUUGGUAAAAACCAAAGUAGCAUUUUAUGUGAUCAACGAAUUGCUUAACAAACACACCUUGCAAGUUCCAAGAAAGCGUGAAUCAUUCGGAAGUUUAUUUUAUUUUCGAAAAUGUAAUGCUGUCAAGAAAAUUCAAAUGUAAACCACAGUGAACAGUGUUGCGAGAACAAUUAAGGAUUCAUGCACACAAUCAACCCGACUCGACUCGUGCAGCCAAUUUCAGAGAUUUUUCCUGUUUAAAGGGGGGAAAAAAUAAUUGAUGACUAGGCCAUGAAGGACAACUGACAAGCUAGUGAAACCUUUUCCUACAGUUUCGCAGGUAUCAGAAAAGGCCAUUUGAAGGACCAACUGGAACAUCAUCACCCAUGCAUUUACAGCCUCGGUUCCACAACUUUUGUUUGAAAACUAACCAAAUGCAAGGUUAUAGAUGAUGCCCUCCUACCUGCUACAAGUUUUUUUCCCAUUACACAUCCUUGCUAUUCUGAGCAUCUGCUCAGUUCGUAUUCCAACAACUUGCAACCAGCGUCACAUGAAGUUAUGAUUGAGGAGACAAUUCUCCUCUGUAAGUCUUUGAAAUCCAUUGCAAGCUUUACAUCCCAACUGCAACUGUCCCUGAGAAGUGGUGAGACCUUCAGAAAUUUGAAAUGCAUUUCAACUUCUGGAGGUUGCAUAUUACAAGCUGACUGCUACUUACCUGUCAUCAAGCUCUUCUCCACCGAGGGACUCCAUCAUACCUUCAAAGGUAGAGCGAAGGUCGUUGAGUAUUUCAACUUCAAUUUCCAGGCUAUCCUGCAUGGAGAGAUAAUGAUGCAGAGCCAAGGAUCAGGCUUACACGCUGACAAGGGUCAUGCAAAGAGCUAGAGGAGGACCAUUUGACAAUUACAAAGUGGAAAUGCAGAUGAAAAAUGAAGGACACUUUUGGCUUGGAAUUACGUGGGUCUUUGUUCGUGAGAUAGGCCCCCGAGCCCUUCGAAAGUGAUCAAGCAAUGGAGGUGCCAAACCAUAAUUGAAAAUCCCAUUGUUCCUUGAGAACCAGGUGCCCCGCACCAUGUGACUGUCCCAAUCAGACAUGCGCCCUGCAUCCUCACAAUCUUCAUCUUGGGCAAUAUCAAUAUCUGUCACAUACAAGGAACUAAGUAUAAAAGGAGGAUAAUCUAUAUGCGCUUCCAAGAUAUAUGUUUAUCUCAAGUCAAAAUGAACAGCAAAUUGUAUGUUCAUACAAGAUUUCUGAAAUGCAAGGAAAUGCACAAAAGUAAACUCAAUUAUCUUAUGGCCUUACCAAGCGGAAUAACAUCAUAAGGAUUUUUUUGUCGUGGCAAAAAGCCAUAAAAAGUAAGUAAAUGUGAGCUGGAGAAAUUUCCAUAGGUAAGAAAGCAUUGCUCUCCUGCAUUGCAAGGCCUUGACAAAGGAAAUUUUACAGAAUCUGUCAAUGGAUCUACUUUCCCAUAGUGCGUUAUGUGUGGACACGUCUGUCACAGAAAGAAACACAGGUAUAAGCAGAAAAAUAAGAUAAUCAAUGAAAAGCAAAGCAUUGUGUCUGGGCACCAAAAGCCAGUGGCUACUGCUUUUGAGAGAGUAUCUGAGCAGGCAAUAAAAACACAUUUUUGGGGAAAGCAUAUUAAAUGAGGGGAAGGAGUAGAUUGUCGAGUCCAUCCAGGGAAUGCUAGAAGCAGAAACCCGCCCCCCCCCAAAAAACAAAAAAAAAACACUUUUUCUUUGGCGGUGCUACAGCUGAAUUUGUAGGUUCUCUUUCUAUGGCCUUCUUUUUCUAAUAAGAUGUAUUAUGUUCUUGGUUGCCAAAUCUAAAUUAAUAUACUCAAGUAAAAGAGAGGAAGAAAAGCAGGAAAACUAAAAUUCUGACUAAAAUUCUGACAGACUGAGUGGUUCAGGAAUCCAGCAACAGGAAUUAAGCAGGUCCUUAGCUUUCCAUCACUGAACAUAAUCUUCAUGCUGUUGGAGUACCAGAGCUCACAAGCCCAGAGAAACUGCUCCCAUGUAUAAAGCUCUGGUGGAAAUACGUCAGGAUAAUUCUCAUAUAGGACAGGAAAUAACUGUUCAUAUUGGUUACGUAAGUGCUGCAAGGACAUAGGAAACAAACAGAAAUCAUUCACAAAAACGUAACAAGAAAUGCUUACUGACAAUUCAAAUUCAUGGAGGUCAGUGUUGCAAUAUUCUCGCCUAUAUGCCACAAUGAAACACUUUCAUUCAAAAUUUCUGUAACUUCAUCCUAAGACACAGAUUAAUGCCAUUUUUCAUUACUGAAAUAACAACAGAGGUAACAGUGUUAGUUCAAUGAAUCAAGUCCAGAAGUUAGAGAGACUUCACAAAGACUAAAGUUAACUUGGGAUAGAUAGAGGUUUCAUAUGAACAUUGUACUGGAGAAAUUUGAAGAAAAGGCUUUGCACAAGAAAGUUUAGUGCAUGAUAGUUUCAAUUCCACAUAUUUUUUCCAUUCUUUUUUAAAUGUGAUUUAUGCUUGGGUUCACUUGUGCAUGCAACGAAGCAAUCAUCAAAUAAAUCUCCAUAGAAGAAUCAACUACAUGCAUUAAUCUAAAGAACUCCAUAAAAUUCUAAAAGUGAUUAUGCUGUUUAAUCAAUAUGCAUGUAGAAUUAGUUAUCAAGAAACACACUAAGCAAGCCUAAAAGUUUGCUGACUGAAAAUAGAUUGAAAGGGAGAUAACCUCUUUUGCUUGUACUAUCUCUUCCAAUAAGAUAGUUCCAUCUAAAGCCAUGAUGGCAUUGACCCCAAAGCUCAAUCCUGUACAUGUAGAUGCAUUAUGAGAAUCAUGUCAAUGAAAGGGUGAAAUUGAAUGCAUAGUUGAAAUUAGGACUUGAAAUAUUAUAGCCAGAAAACUUUAGGCAAUUAUGUAGUUCAAGAAACUUAAUAAAGUAGACAUGAAUACAGAAGUUUAUAAAGAAAAAGAAACCUGUAUUAAACACUGCAGGCAACGUAUCGAAAUAUAACUUGAAAUUGGAAUCGCUGUUGUGUUUCUCCUUCAUGCUCCAUAACAAUAGCAUUGUCUCUGAAGAAAUCCCCUCAAUUUUCUCCAAUAUUGGAAACUGCCUUAAAAGUACAAAUGACUAAUGACAUCACUACAUAUUUUAGAUUCUGGCUGCAAAGUUUAAACAGUAGUUAAUAGCUCAACUGGAAUAAAAUGUGAAGUUGACAAAGAGAACUUAAGCAGAAUGGCUUCUACACUGUUGACAGAAAAGUUGCUGUUGCACCAUAUGAUGAUUUAGUUUUUGCAGAAAGAAAAUUCCAGCACAUACAAGUCCAUCAGGCAAGAGAAAUUAUGUUUCACAAGAUGCAUAUUUAAGAGAAGAAAAAGCUUCUGCUAAAGAUGCACAUCAACAAUAGGGCUUAAAAGUGCAAAAUGUACCAUGCCAGUUUCAAAAACCAGGUUCUCGGAAAUGACCAAAGACACAGGGACCUCUAGAGCAAUGUCCCCAAUUUUCAGAUCUUCUUUAGCGAUAGCUCCUCUUCCAGCUCCUUCAACAUCUGUACCGUCAAUAAAAAAGUGAAAAUACAUAACCCUAUUUUCACAACUGGAGUCUUGAACAACUUUAGUUUCCUCUCCAUACUUGUGCCCAAGUUCAUCUAUCAUAUUAACUGUUGCAUUGCGUAUCUCUUGCAGUGAAUUUUUAUUCUUGACUUUACCAUUGGAAAUUGAACAAUCAAUGAGUCUAAGAACAGAAUGUAGAGCUUCCAACUCAUGCCUUGGACUAUUAAAACCCACCAGAUUAGCGAAAUCUGCUCCCCCAAAAUACAGUUCAAUCUGCAACAUAACAUGUACAUUGAUAUAGUGUCAAUCGCUUGCACUUAGAAAAUGCAUUUGGGGUAGUGUGUAGUAUGAUGUUGCUCAAGAGAAGGCUUGGUCACAUAAUUUGAUGAAACAAAAUUGACAGAUGACAGUAACUGAAGUUCCAAAGAUGACUUCACACACAAAAAUGGACUUUAGACUAUACCAAGUUUCGAAUUGAAAAAAAUUAAAUAUUUGCUUCAUCCUUAAUGAAAUCCUAAGAAAAUAUUCAUAAAUGACAUUCAAACAAGCAGCUGCUCUAAAACAUUUCUGGAUAGGGGAUUAUCUACCCAUAUUACAAUCACCUUGAAUGUCUAAGGCAAAAGCUUGGUAAGUGCAUCAAGUACUGAAAAAGUUAUAGUUUCCACCACAAGAUUGAAAAAUCAACCAGGAUGACAGUUCAUAGCAGAGCAUUUCAGUGGUUGACUCCUGGAAGCUAAGGCAAAAGUAACUUGUAGAUACAUAAAAUAUAGUUGCUUGUAAUAGAGUCCUGUGAAGGAAAUAGCACAAAAGAUUACCUCAUUCAAGUUUAUGAUUCUGGCACGCUUAAGCAUCAUGUCCAGGACAUGCUUCAAGUGAUCAGGAUUGGAGGCAAUAUUCAAGGCAACACUUCCCUUUGGAUCAAAGCCUACGUCUUCCAGUAAUUUCUGUCACAUGCUAAGAGUAAAAUUAAAAAGAAAAGGAGAAAAAUCAUAAUCAUUAACCAAACACUCAUUAUGAAGUUCUUUUUUUUUUUCUUUCUUUUUUUCUUGGGCAAGGGCGGGGGUGCCUAUUUAUAAGGGUGGGAAAUGUGCUACAAAAAAAAAUGCAAACCUUUUUCUUCUGGAACAAAGGAUCAUUCUCAGAAAGAUCAAGAACAAAUGAGAUCUCAUCAUCAGUCUCUGCAGUAUUGGGGGAUAUAUACGCCUUCACAAUAAAAGAACAGUAGAAAAGUAAGUUAAUUUCCAACCUAAGCAACAGCAAAGACACCCACUUCACAUGUAAGAAGUAAUUAAUUCACACCUAUUGGUUAAAAACAGAAAAAAAAAAUAAGGGAUGAAGGGAGAGAUGGAAUUGCAGAAUAGCCCUAUUUACUCCUUUUCCAUGAUGGAAAUCUGUUUUUAUCACUUUUUCUCUCAUCAUUAGCGUUCUGGCACUUCCCUUGCACUCCACUUCAUCUUUCAAUACAAUCAAAACAAAUUCUGGAUUCAUUACAUAUGCACACUUGUAUUUGUAAGUUACCAAAAAAUGGCACAUUUACUUAAGGCUUCACUAACUAGAUGCACCAUAUAAUUCAGCUUCCACUUUGUUAUAAGGAAACGAAUAAGGUUAAACAGGGAAGAUAUUAGAUUAAUAAGAAAGGAUGACUAUCUUUAGGGGAAAAAAAAACAAGGAUGAUUUCACCGUAGCAUACCCUCUGGGCCAUCAUUCAAUGAACAUCUAUACUGGACUACAACCAAGAAAUCCCCCAUAACUUCUGAAGAAGCUUUUUUACAGUUAGCCCGUUUGAAAAUAAUUCACGAGGUCAAAGAGGCAGCUCUACUUUUUCCCAUUUUAUGAACUAUUGGAUACUGGAUAUGUCUAUAUUGAAUCAAGAAUUAAAGGGAUGAAUUUAGGUGCUGAAGUUUACCUGGUUAACCUCCAUUAACGCCAAUUGGAUGGAUUAGUCCAGCGAAUGGAAUUGAUGACUGGUAAGCCAGCAAAACUGAAGAGGCUGUGGCCGGAAACUGGGGAGCUGGGGUUUUAGCGAGGUUUCUGAGUAGGCAACUUGUUUGAGUACUCCCUCCCGAGAAAACAACCCGUUUCCAGUUUUUUUUUUUUUUUUUUUGUUUUUGGGUACGGUCGGUAAUAAUUUAUCCUACACCUGCGAUCGGUACGAUGGGUAGCUCAUUCUAGGGGCUCAACUGAGCCAAUGAAGAGAUCGAACCCAAAAACUAAAUUACCAUCAAAUCAAAUCUACUUUUAUUUCUAUUCUAACCUAUUUUAAAGGGUUCAACUGAGUCAAUAAGAAGAAUCGAUGAAAACUGAAUCAUCGAAUCAAUCGAAUUGUACUAUAUACUUGUUUGAAUUUUUAAGAUAAUUACGUAACGUGACAAUUGGUGGUGACCUCUAGCUGGUGGUUAACUGUUUCCAGUACUAGGAAUGUAAGAACUAAAAGUUAAUAGAGAUUGGAAAAACAGGAAAUUAUAAAAGCAACGACAUUGGAUAUAUUAUGGAGUUUGUUCUCAUUGUAUCAAACGUCUUGUUAACUUUUGUUUCCCCUUACGUCUUAAGAUUUCAAGUUUAAUCAUCAGUCUCCAAAAUCGUUGUUAGCUUAUUAUCCAAUAGUGAAAUUUUUUCACUUCAAUUAGAUGAUGCUUAUUCCUUUAUAUAUAUAUAUUUUUUUUUUUUUGAGGGAGUGCUUAUUCUAGUUCAAUUCAUUGACCAAACGAAGUAAUAUAUACAUAUAUGUGUGUGUAGAUAUAGAUAUAUGUAUUAUAUGUAUACGUGUGUGUGUGUAUUGUGAAUCUACUUUGCAAUUUGGGAAUUCAGUUUUGUUAGCAUUUUUUUUUUAUGGUAACAUUUUUCUUCUUCGUAAAUAGUUUUUGGUGACAGUAGAUAGAUUACGACAAAAUAGAAAUGCAAUGGUUCGCUACAUCCUCAAAGGCAAGCCAUCGGGAUUCUAAUGGGCUCAUGUCUUUGUAAAAUGCGGAUGUGUUGUUUAACUUUCAGUUGGGCCAUUCAAAAAAAGUAAUCCAGCGCAUGGGCUGAGCAAACAGUUUUAAAAUUAGUGCUUACCCAAAAUUCUCAGCCAUUCUGUAGCUUUUCUUCAUAAGCCAAUUGCAAAUUUCUCUUCUUUUUUUUCCCCUUUUUGAGCUUGAGUCCAGACCUCGUAAUUAUUCCUUUGAGCCUCCAGCACAAUCGAUCUGUUCCGAACUAGAACCCAACUGAGUCCCCUUUUUUUUCCCUUCAAGUUCAAAGGAAUGCUCAAACCUUACACAAGAGAAGAGGAGAGUGGAAAACAAAAAAAAAAAAAAAAAAAAGAAUGUUUGAAAGUCGAACCAAGAACCUCACAAUUAUCAAAAUAAUAUUCCUACGAGUUAAAUUUGGUCACAAGGACAACUUUGCUAAGGCCCUUCUUGUUAUUCCACUUCCAUGACAAAGUUGAGGAAGUCCAAUAGUCACAACCAAUGGAGCAGUAUGGUGCUCUAGAAGUGGCUCUAACUCUGUUCGACGUAAUAUUUGUUUGCCCACGCAAAUUUGGAUUGUUAUUUUUUGCAAAAAAAAAAUUUAUACUUUUCAAUUAUUUUUUCCACCUCACAUACAUUACAUUAAGUCGUUACGGUACAUAUAUAUUUUUUAAUAAAAACUUUAGAAAAUAGCUAUGCAAAGGGGUCUUAGUUUCAGCUGAUAAUCACUCAGAUAGGGAUGGUCCAUGCCAGAUGUAAGGAAAAAUUGGUACAUGCACCAGCCUAACCCCUUCUGAACUAAAAUGCAUGCUUAGAUGUAAAGUGUAGUCGAAGUGGAAUUACAUUCCGUAUUUAUCACUGUUAUUAACAAUUAUAUUACUAUCAGUAUCCAGUCAAAAAUCUUUCUCAGCAAGCGAAGAACCUCCAAUGUAAUUGGAGAUCCAGGACCAUUCAAUCAUCAAUUAGCUCCAAGAAAUAGUUGGGGUAAUUGAAAUACAUAUAUAUAUAUAUAUAUAUAUAUAGCCUAAGUAUAUGCUUAACAUAAUUGUACUGAUUUUCAUGCUGGUGAAUCCAAUAGCUUUGCUGACUUAUCAACAUAUUCUUUCUAGUCAAAGAUCCUUGUCUCCAACUUCAAAAAGCAGCCUUGCCAUUUGCACGAGAGAUACAAAGGGCACCAGCUAAAAGCUUCUAGCGAUGCAUGAAAAAUGGGGGUGGCCACUUUUCAAUUCAAAGCGUGAUCAAACUUGGUAAUUUUUAGUAAUGGAUGAUGGAACCAUAAGACCCAUAUACCCAAUCGACUCUUCUUGGUUUUAAUGUUAGUUGGGCCUGUACUCGGUUGCUUCCUUGUUUGGAAAGCCAUUUUUCACCAAAAAAAAAAAAAAAAAGUUUUAUGUUUUUCGUAAACACGUUUUUCAAUCACCUUUUUAACUUACAUACAUCAAAAAUCACAUUUUCUGUAAAAACUCUAGAAAAUUGCAACCCAAAUAGGUUUUUUUCGGUUAUGUCAAAUUGACCAUCAAGAAAUCUGAUGAAAAACAAGAUCUUGAGAAUACAUCAGAUUAAUUUUUUGAAGAGCAAGGGGUUGCGUACCUUGUAAUCAUUUAUUUCUUCCUUUGUUGUUCUUUUAGUACAGUUCCAUUUGGAUUAACUAUUUUUUGAGUGUUUUGAAAUAUUUUACUGUAGUAAAGUAGAUUGAAAAUUUUUACUGUAUAUGAGAUUGUUUUUAAGCUUGUUUUUUGAUAUUUCUGAGGUUGUUUUUUUUUUUAAAUUUUUUGGUGCUUUUGAGGCUGUUUUUGGUGUUUCUUAAAUUAUUUUUGUUUGUGUAUUAUUGUCGCAUUAUAUAUAAAAAUUUUGUUUUUAAAAAAAUGACCUAUCCAAACGGAGCAGCAGAUGAAACAAGCUUAAAUUGAAGCACAAGUCGCAAGCAAACAAGAAUAUUUUAAAAUAGUGUUUCACUUUAAAAAAAAAAAAAAGCUAUAAUUAUAUUAGGAUGAUAAAUAAUUGGGAAAGAAAAAAGGUCGUCCAACGUCUAUAAAAGUAAAGUAUCAAUUACCUUUCUCUAGAAAUUUACUCCAAUAGUUUUUGGACAAAUAUUUAAUUUCAUGAUCUUUGGAGAGUUAAACAUCUGAAUAUUUGUGAGGUGGGUACCGAGGAGUGAGAAAGGAUUUGUCUAUUCAAUAGGUGCUUUUCUCAGGUGGCUCACUGGACUCAGAAAAAGAACCAGACAAUCAAUUUAUACUAUUGUAAAGAAUAUUUAUCUUUCGUCCAAAAAGCAAAUAGAGACAAGUAUUUCAAAAGGGUGGAUUAUAAAUAAAACGUAAAGUAUCCGAGUGAAAAUGUGGCAAAUACAUUGUUUGGUUCAGAAAAGGAUGUUUUCUGUCUUUAGCAAGUCAAGGCUAUCUUAGGCCAUCGCAGAAAGUGAUUACUAUGACCUCCUCACGUGGAUAAAAAUACGACGUACGGAGUUGGGAUUACGACACCGUUGUUUGGUUCAAAAUGUAUUUCGAUUGGUCGGAAUUUAUUCUUCAGUCUUUAAGCAUUACACGACCCGGAACAAAAGAUCAAGAAAAAGACAACAACAGCAACAAUUUUGCAUAAACUAAAAUAUCAGAGCUACCCUCUUUUGUGGACUUUCUAAAAGUUCCAAGAAGAAAGCAACUGAUAAAUUGGAUCUUGACUAUUCGUUCAAAUGAACAACAGUUUUGUUUUAUUCCUUAUAUCUCUUGGUGCUAUAACUUUUCUUUUUUUUUCCCUUCACAAAACAAAACAAAAAAAAAAACAACUUUUUAAAAGUUGAUGAUUAAUAUACAAUUAUCUAGAAAAAGGAUGGAUUAGAUGAUAUGGAAGAAGGGAGUGUAACCGAGAGGUCUUAAAUUUAAAAUCUCAUAUAUAUAGAAGAAAGUCUAUAUAUGGAAGAAAGUUUAUAUGGAAGAAAAUCGAACCACAUAAUAGAAGCAAAUUUAAAUCACUUUCUUCCAUAUAUAGAAGCAAAUUUAUAUGAGGUCUUAAAUCAAUUGAGAGUUUUUUUUCUUUGAUUUUAUUCUUUUUGAAGAAAAGAAAAUUUGAUCGCCAUUGACUGUCUUUGAGAAUACCAUUGAUUAAACAAGUGAAGAGAAGUGGUGCCCUUUCUUUGCCAUAUUUUAUGCAGCUGUUACUUAUCUUAGGUCUUUCUUUACCAUAAUAAACGUAUUAAAUACUUUCCAUCGAUUGGGGAACUUUCGUACACGAAUCAAAUUUUGCAAUUGAAUGGCCAGCAUCGCAUAAAAUCGAACCUUUUUGUUGCAUGGAUUCUCACCCUCUUGACGGGCUGUUGAUUGGUUUCCACUGAAAGUGGAAUGAUUUCCAACUUUGUUGACUAGAAAAUAUUAACAUCAGGAAUCGAAGAACAUUAAGGUUAGAAUGUGGAGACCGAAAAGAAAUCUGGUGGGAGGAACAGAAAAAAAAAAAAAAAAAACUCUCAACCAAAGAGAGCUAAACUUUGAGUGGAACCGUGCAAGCUCUUACGUUAAUUUCAUGGCUUAACAUGCAUGGUUAGUGCUGGACAAGAUCAAGCAACGAAAUCUAACCAACAAUCAAUGGAUGUCUACCACAUUGCCUUGCCCUGGGGAUUCCUCCCUAGUCCCUAGUCCCUACCACCAAAGAAGUUGCUAAAAAGUCAUAACGUACGUAUCUUAUUAGAGAGGUCCGACUAUUGGGAUAAUAGAGAUUGAAUGGUUUGAAAACCAAAACAUCGUGUUUUCAUUCUUUGAUAUAUAUUUAACCUCCUUUUUUUUUUCCCCCUUUAUGGGUGUUUUCAAAAGCUUACUGAAUUUUCUUCUGUGUGUCUUGCAUCACAGUAUUGAGGAGGUCUGGUCUGAUAGUCGAAAAAGUUACAAUAGCAUGCACAAUAUCUUACAGCAACUUUAUAUCUCUUAACACACAAAACUAAUUAAAGCAUCAACAUCAUUUAACAUGUUUUUUAAACUCAAUCAUCAAAUCCAAUUUACAAUUAUUGAACUUAAUAACUACUCAAUCUAAAUUAGAGAGCAAUCCACAAUUCACAAUCGAUAACUACUCUACCGGCAUGGGGUUGGGCGGCGGCCUAAUUUGCUGUAAACACAUGGCUUAGCUAUCAUGCAGCAUUGUCAACCUGGUCUGGACGUACGCAUCAAACAUCUGGCGCAUUAUAAUCCAUUCACACAAUUGGGAAUUUUGGAUAUUAAUAAUCUUACCCUUCUCCAUCCAUGAAAAUAGAAACUAAUAAUAAUAAUUCCCUUUUGUCUCCUAAUACGUUCAGUCCUUCAUCCCAUGCGCUCUUCCUAAGAUAUUUCUUAUGGGCAUGUGUCAAUCUUUUUCAAAGACAUUAUUGACUCCUGCUUGGCAUUGAUUACCAUCUUAGGCAGGAAUCUAGCAUAGUACGUGCUAGUAGAUAUCUCCCUUGGAUCUUUUUCCUGCUGGAGUUAGAUUGGUGUCUCGUACCAUUCAAUUUUAAAAUUAGUAUAGAUUUGUGUUUGGAUUGCAUUUUUCAGAUUUUUUUUUUACAUAAAAGUUACUGUAACGAUUUGAUAUAUGUAAGAUAAAAAUGUGAUUAAGAAAUUUAUUUACAGAAAACGUAAAAAAAUUGCCGUCCAAACAAAGUCCGCGAGUCUUUACCUUGCCUCGCCAAACUAAGUACUGCUUGUUCUUUGAGCAAUAUAUAUGUUUUCUGUUUGGUUCUACUGGCAAAAGAUUAUAGUUAAAAAACAGAAGGGAGAAUUAGACAAAUCAUGCAAUGGGAAUAUUACCAUUAAUUCGUGGCUUACACAUUGAAGGGGUUGAAUGUUAAAAAUUGGUCGGUAAUAAGUCAAUUUCUGAAUAAUUGAUCUACUGCUACUUAAUUGUCAUGAACUCAAUAAAGGAAAUGUGAAAACAGAAAGAAUCGUGAAAUGACAAUGUUGUGGCUAAUCACCAAUGAGGCAGUUUGGGCCAAGCAAUAAUGAAAUCAAGACCGUGUGCAUGGGAAAUGACAAACAGAAAGCUUACAUGGGAGUCAAUUACUAUCAACCCAAUCUAUUGGCCGGCAAUUUGAGGUAAAAUCUCAUGUCACUUCUGUUUAUGGAGGUUUUCCAUCAAAUAAUUUAUGGAGGUUCGGACCUUCACUUUCUUUACUUUUACUUGGCUCCUUUUUUUUUUUUUUUGAUGGUUAUAUCAUUCUUGACUUGAAAACGAUUUAACGUGUGUAGCUCCCUUCGAAAGUGUUUUGUUUGGUUCAAAGAAGGCUCCCAAGCUUAUAGGAAUAAGCAGAAAGAUGAAGAUUUGAGAAUUGAACUAGAUCUUUUGGAUCACUUAGAUAAUGUACUGUGACUAGGUUAGGUGAGUUGGGUCUCGGGGACGAAAACUCUAACGAGUAACCAUUAGGAGAGAAAAAACUUUCGUUACAACUCUUUAGGAGAGACUUAAAUAAAAAAUAGAGGUUUGAAUUCAAGAUUUAUAAUUAUAGAUGCCGUUUUUUGACUCAGAUAAUAUAAUACAUUAUAUGGUUUGACGUAAAUCGCCUAGAGGUGAAAAUAAGUAUAAACUCUGGUCAUAUCAAAUUGAGUGUGAUUUAUAUUUGUCAAACUCGAACUUGAGUGAGAAGUUAAUUAAACUUUUAAUGUAAAACUCAACCUCAACUCCAACUGAAGUUGAGCCAAACUAAGUUGAAAUUACAACGAAGUAAUAAUUAUGAUAUUUUUAAACUGGAUAGGAGAGUCAUUUUAUUCUAAUAAAUAAUCAAAUUAUGAGGAUAUACAUGUAAUUUCACUGCUAAUAGAAUAGCCAUUCAAAAUAUAUAGAAUCAAGCCAGCUGCACGACGAGUCAGCAAGUCUAGUAUGGCGAUACAUAAGUUCAACUCAACAUUCUCCACAAUUUAAUUUUAGCUUUGACGGAGUCCGCUUGAUUCGUUUGCAGUACUAAAAUACCCUUGAUUUAUAUGAACAAAUGAGAAAUAAUUGUGAAGUUUAAUUAGAUCAAUCCACAUUAAACACAACUCAAUAAUUUAAGCAGCAAAUUAUUGAGCGCACAGUUUGGAGAUGUAAUUGCACACAAUCUCAUCCCAGUCAUGUUCCACGGUCAAUGACUCAAUAUAUUGUUCAUGCAACCGACCCUACCAAAACUCCACUUCGCGGGUGAUACAAACAAAAGAACUGAGAAAAAGCGGAUUUCUUUCACGUUCAGCCUCAUAAAAAAAAAAAAAAACAAAAAAAAGAAAGAAAGAAAGACAGGUCUUUAUUUAUUUUAGAAGUAGCUGUCAAGUACGUCGGCGAUUAUACACCGGACUCAAAUCGGAAAAUGACAAUCGGCCUUUCCAACUCAUAACAAAGUCCCAAGAAAUAAAAGAAGACGUCAAUUUUUGUCAUCAUAAUAAGAAGACUUUUCAAGCCGCUUUUGUUUGUAAAUCUUUCUUUUACCCAACAAGAAAUCUUCGGAUUUGCUUGCGUGUUCCUACUUUUUUCGUUCAUAGUAGCGUAAUUAUUAUGACCCCUCUAAUUCUAUCCAUUCAAACAGUUGUCUGUUUUUCUACUUAUGCAUCCUUGCUUUGCUUUUUCAAAAAAUGCUGCCCAGACAAAAUUAAAAGCCUUCGGUUUUUCUGUGCUUGGUUCCCUUUUGGCUUGCAUUCAAAUUGUGGUGGUAGUACAUUUUCCUUGGCAUCUCUAUUGGCCCCUUUUUGGAAUUUUUGGCUGUACAACGUCUUGAUUUACGUUCUUCUUCUUCUUCCCCCUUUUUUUUUUUUUUCUUUUUUUGUUUUCCCAUUUGCCACAUGUUUAAUCACGAAUUGAUGCAAUUGAUAAAAUCCUUAAAUGGGGAGGGGAGGGGUGGAUACAAAUUAGUCAGAGAUGAGAUCAAAUUAAGUUUUUUUUUUUUUUUAAAAAAAAAAGAGGCAGUCGGUGGUUGGUGUUUUAAAAGUAAAAUUAGCUACAGGAGUUGAGUUCAAAAUUUGUGUGUUAAAAACAAGAUUAGGCCAUGCCAACUUAGAAAAAGUCUAGUUGAAAAGGCAACAAGUCGUUAAUUAGGUUCUCAGGAAAUACGACCAAUGACCAAUGAAACAUUCAUUGCGUAAAAAUAUUAUUAUUAUACUAUUCCUAAUGCUAAUCUACUUUGUACUGCAUUUUCAAGAUAUGCAUCCAACUAUCCUGAAAACGAAAUGAAAUGAAGUGGGCAAGUAGUUAAAGUAGCUACAUCAUCAAGCUCCCCCAAAGCCCCACAACCCACAAGCCACUCACUACCCAAGGGGUGUUCACCGGAAAUUGGAUAUUCAGGUUCAUGAUUGUCCAAAGUUCAUGAUUGUCCAAAGAAGUUUUGAUCCUAGUUGAUUUUGAACAGGAAACACGAAAAAAAAAAAAAGGGAAAAUUGCAUAAACCUUCCCUGAGAUUUCUGAUAUUUGCACUGACCUCUCCUAUCAAUUUUGAAAUAGUAUUAACCUCUCCUAGAAAAAGUUGGAGCCAAUUUAAAAGGUAAAAGUGUGUGAAUUUACUAGAGUACCCCCAAUUGUAUUUGACUUUAUCAGAUGAAAGGUUUGAGUACUUUCAUCAAAACCAACGUUUAAUUUGUUAAAUAAAUUAAACUAAUCAAACUAUGUUUGCAUAGUUAAAUUAAUUAACUAAUUAAUCUAUUUUUACAUAGAUAAACUAAUUAACUAAUGAACUAAUUAUCUAAUUAACUAUUAACUAAUUAACUAAUUAUCUAAUUAAUUAAUUAACUAAUUUAUGUUUAUCAAAUUAACUAAUUAACUAAAGCUGUUGUCUGUCUAAAGCUAACAAACUAUUUGCAUGUUAAAUUAAUUAACUAAUUAACUGCUUAACUAAUUAACUAACUAAUUAUCUAAUUAAUUAAUUAACUAAUUUCUAUUUAUGUAAUUAUCUAAUUAACUAAUCAAACUAUUUUUGCAUAGUUAAACUAAUUAACUAAUUUCUAUUUAUCUAAUUAACUAAUUAACUAAAGCUGUCCAAAACUAACAAACUAUUUGCAUGUUAAACUAAUUAACUGCUUAACUAAUUAACUAACUAAUUAACUAAUUAAUUAAUUAACUAAUUAACUAAUUUCUGUUUAUCUAAUUAACUAAUUAGUUAAUGCACUAAUUGGUUAAUUAGCUCUAUAGGCCAACGAAAUUGGUUAAAUAGUGCAUUAAAUAUAAAACCUGUCAGUUUCCCAUAAAAGAGCUGGUAUGUUAUGGGCAAAAUUUUUUUUAAACUUUCACAUGUUUAAUUUAUGUUAAAUACAAAACAUACUAGUUUUUCUUUGGACGCUAUUUAACCCAUUUUUCCCAUAAAGAACUUGUAUGUUUUCCAUAAAGAGUUGGUAUAAAACAUACUACAAAACCUGCCAGUUUCUCUUAAAGAACUGGUAUGUUAUGCGUUAUUUAACCAAUUUUCAUAUUUAAACAAAUUUAUGAAAAUUAAAAUAACGUAUUUGAAAGUUGCAUUUUUAUUUGGAAGAACGCACUCCUUUGAUGCAUUUUUCACCAUUUGGGAAGAGACUAAAAAAUCGCCACCCUUUAGAAAGUUAGUUUAAAAAUUCUCUCUUUUUGGGAAUUUACUCCUUAUUAAUACAGCCACUAUAUUUAUUUUCUAGUAUUAAUUUUUGUUAUGGUUUAUGAUUUUCUUAUAUUUUAUCAAAAAAGUUAAUAACUAUUGUAGUUACAAUUAUUGAGAUGUUAAUUUGUCGUAUGUGUAAUUCUUUUGUUUUAUAAGAAUUGUUAUAUCAGGGGUAAUUUUGAAAUUUAAUUGCAUUUAAUUCCGAAACACUCAUCAAACCAAACUAGAUAUUGGAAUGAAAAAUAUAUUGCAUUUAUACCCCCUAAACUUGCUUGAUCCUUAAUGUCUAUGCCCCUCCCUUGUUAAUACUAAUUGUCAAGCAAAGAUCAGGGCAAAAUUAGAAAAAUUUUCUUAUUUCACUUCUACAAAUAAAUUUUUUAAUUGGACAUCAAGCCUGAGGGGAGGUUUCUGCAACGAAUUGUUCCUAUUCAGGGAUGCUGAAUGCCAUUUCUAAACCUAGAGGGGAGGUCAGUGCAAGUGUCAUAAACCUCAGGGGAAGUUUCUGCAAUUAUCCCAAAAAAUAAUAAACACAGUCAAUUGGAAUGGGUUGUGUUUGUGGCUUCAUUUAUUUGCCUAUUAUAAAUGGCAUGCCAUGCCAUCCAACCCACAGCAGUGAGCGGACCAGUGUCAUUACUGAUGAUGAUGAUGAUGAUGAGGCUUGAAAACAUAUACCGCACGUUUGGAAUAGAAAGAAUAAAGCCGAAAGAAUGAAUGUCCAAAUAAAUAUUAAUGGCUCUUCUCUUCUUUGGAUACAUCAAAAAACCCCCAUGUGCCGGCAGGUGUACUCUGCAUCACAUCCAGCUAACAUUGGUGCAAGUACACAAAAAGUAAACACAGGAGGAUCUCUGAUUUAGUGGUAUCUUGUACUCCUCCUCCUCUCCAAAUGCCCAUGUGAACCCCGCACACACACACACACACACACACAAGUGUGUGCAUACAUUGCUAGUUACUAGUACAUUGUAACAUACAUACAUUGGUCAUUGGCCGGCCAGCUGCUCUAUUAUGUAUGGCGCAUGAUAUGAUGAUUGUUCAGUUGGAUGCUAUCAAUGGUGGUGGGAACCAGAAUGGGAUUGACAGAAACCAAGCCAAUAUAGCCAAACACUGCACAUGCACAUUUGUGCACGUAUGAAACAUACAGUAUUCAGAGGUUCUUCAUUAUUUGCGCUAAGCAACAAAGAUGGACCAAAAAAAAAAAAAAACUAGUAUGAGCUUUCUUUGCCGCAUUACCAAUUUUCCCAAGUCCCCCCCCCCCCUUGAAUUUUUGACUCAUUCAUAUGCAAUUUCAAGAUAAUCUUUGUCCAUUUCCUAAAAUAAUCCCUCGUGAGUCAAGAGAAUAUCCCCCCCAAAAAACAUAAACAAAAGAAAAAAAAUGCAUCAAUUGUGUGAUACUACUACUUUAAUUGUUCUUCUGAUCACCAUUAUUCUGAUCACGUUUGUUACAACUUUCUUGCAAUUCACCAUCAUCAUCUUCCUCUUCUUCUUCUUCUUCUUUUGGACUAUCCAAAGCCCUUUUCUCCUGCUCCUCGUCUUCCACCACUGUACCAUUCAACCCCCUUGAUUUCUUCUCUGCCCUCAUCUUCAAAGCCUCCAAAAGCUCCCAAACAGCUCUUUCCUUGUCACGCCUGUUCUUAAUCAACACCUCACUUAUAUCCGCCGGUGUCAUUUCAGCCUUAUCCAUCACUUGUUUGAACUCUUCCUCCAAAUCCCUCUCCAAAUCGCCAUCAUUGUACCCCAAAUAAUUCUUCAAGAGAAUCUUCAAUGCCGGAAAAGAACAGUAACUCAUGAAGACAUGCAUGUCCAUCCUCCCACUCCUCAGCAAAGCAGGAUCAAGCUUCUCGAUAUGAUUGGUAGUGAAAACAAAUAUCCUCUCACUCCCACAACAAGACCACAAUCCAUCUGUAAAAUUCAACAACCCUGAAAGAGUAAUCGAAUUCCCACCAUCCUCCCCACCAUUACUAGUCCCCGGGGGCGAAACGUCAAAAUUGUUACUCCUAGCACCACCAGAAUUAGCAGCGCCUCCGCUCUUCUUCCUGUUAGUCAAAUUAAUUGAACAAUCAAUAUCUUCAAUCACAAUAAUGGAUUUUGAACUGGUUUUCAUCAACAAUUUCCUCAGCUCCGAAUUGGUAUGCACCUCAGUCAACUCCAGAUCGUAAAUGUCAUACCCCAAGAAAUUUGCCAUUGCAGCAAUCAUGCUAGACUUCCCCGUCCCAGGUGGUCCGUACAACAAAUAUCCCCUCUUCCAAGCCCGGCCAGUCCUCUGAUAAAAUGCUUCCCCAUUAGCAAAAUCUUUAAGAUCAGCCAUGAUUUCGGCCUUGUUGAUCGGAUCCAUAGCUAGCGUGUCAAAAGUGCUAGGAUGCUUAAAGGGUACGGACUCCCAAGGAUGGCCUCGGGAGUCAAGUGACCCUCCACGUGAAUUGGUGUAAAGCAACCGAUCUUGGUUAUUCCUACGUAUUUCGCUAGCUUUUUCCAUGACAAAAUCUAGGUAAGAUCCCAGAAUAACCGACUUAUCCUUCUUCUUCACGCGCAAAGUGAAGCCCCGCUUUUCUUCGGGCAACGGCCGCCAAGAAAAUGUCUGGGCUUGUCUCUGAGUGACUAUGUGCUCCCACAGAACCGUCACGCCCUCGUAGUUGUCCAUGAGGCGGUCGUUGUUGGACAGCCCGAAGGUGAUGGCGCUGGAGUUGAGCCCGCGAGUGAGGCUCAGGCGGUUGCCGGUGAUGGAAGCGGAGCUGCUGAGGUACAGCUGGACGGCGUUGUAGAGUUCGUUGGUGUUGACGCCGUCGAUUUCUGUGAUGUCAUAGUAGCAGUAGGCUGAGAACCAAUUGAAGAAGCGGUGGAAGAGUUUGAGGGAUGCAAAACGAAGCUCCGGUGGGAAAACUGUGUGGAGAAUGCUUUGGAAAAAUGCCCAUACCCCCAUUACUGAUGCUAGAGUUGUCCAAAAUUCCUUCAUUUUUCUUUCCUUUUUGGGCUCUCUUUUUAUCAAUGCGAACGAGGAAGAUGGAGGGUGGGUUUGUAUGGAUUUUGAUAGAAGGGUUUUGCAAGAUUUAUAGGGAGGAGAAAUGGGAUGGGGUAUUUUUUAUUUUAUUUUUUACUUUUUUUUUUUUGGGUUUUGGGUGGGGGAAUUGGUUGGUUGGGGGAUUCUCGAAGCUGUGGCUGAGACUUGAGAGGGGUCGACGGGAGGGGAUGCGGGUGCGGGGGAAUAAAGUAGAAAAGGGUGUAAAACGGUGAAGAGAGCUUUUAAGAAAUUAAUGAGUGAGAUGAAGGAAAUUAAUGGAAAUGAAGGGGUUUGAGCUCGAGGAGUUUAGAGUUGGAGGAGUUUUUAAAGAGUAUUGAGUGAGUGGGCUGGCGAUUGAGUGAAAAUUUUAAGUAGUACAAGAAAGACAGCAGUGAGAGAGAGAGAGAGAGGACUAGAAAACAAAAAGGAUUUUUGAUGGUUGAUUUGGAGAAGAUAUCGGAGAAGCACAGAGAUGGAUUUGGGGUCUAGGUUAGGGUCGUAGCCCUCUAGGGUUGGAAUUUUGUGAUGGACAAAUUCCAAUGGGAUUUUUUUUUUUUUUUUUUUUGGUUUGGGAAAUAAUUGUUUGGGUUGAAUCCUUUGCUAUUAAGUUUUCUUGUACCCUAUAAUGGAAAACUUGAACCGGCUUCUGCCAGAUUGUGAAAGGAGAGGGAUGUUAUAUCAAGGUCUUUUGGAAAGGGACAAUGGAGAGGGGAAGAGGCCGUCAGACCACACGUAUUUCACUCUGAAUUGCCGACUUGUGAAUAGUUCCCCUCCCGGACAGUAGUACGUUGUGGCAGUAACUCAAAUUUGAUUACUAGUUUUUUCCAACCAAAUAAAUUUCAUAAAAAGGUGUAUUAAAAAUUGUAACGAUGGUGUGAGCAAAUAAAUUUUGACAAAUAAUCCUCUAUCCAAACAAAUUAGUACAUCAAAAUAUUCGGUUGAGAUGCGUUAUGAACAUUGAAGAGGAAUGUUAUUUGGGGAAAACAUAUGACAAUCAUUAAUUACAUUUUCUCAUCACCAUUUUAUUUUUUCCAAUUUUCGUAUUAUUUCAUAUAUAUCAUAUUAUAAUCACAAAUACUGUGUUUGAUUUAUACAUUAUUUACACAGAUUAACUUGCUUAUAUUAUUAUCAACACAUUUUUUAAUUAUCUUUUUAUUUGACGUAUAUUACAUAAAAAAAAUGCUACAAUAAUUUUUAAAAAAAUUAUACUACCAAUUAAUCUCCUGUCCAAACACAAUUGUUACUGACUCAUCAAGUCUUUGAAAUCACUUACUUCCUCUUUGGUCUUCUCUCCACUCCAGCCGCCCAAAAAGAGAAAAGACAAUCAAUCAUGUAACACAUUUAUUAAAUGCAGAAGAGAACUGAAAGUGGGCAUUGGAAGCAGAUUUCUAGUCCAUCUUGCCAUUAGUCAGACUGCAUGAAUGAAUCAACAAAAAUAUUAAUGCUAAAUUCAUCAAAAGUGCCAACUUCGAUAAUUUCUCGCCUACCAAAGCUGGUUGUUAACUCGAUAACCCCUCCUACUGUUGCUUGGCGCAGUAAGUAUAAAAUCCAAAAGCAGAUGGAACUGAAAAUGGGCGGGGUUCAAGAAAGAAUGAAAGAAAGAAAGAAAAGAAAUACCCUUGUAUCAUACUCAUAUCAUCCAUCCCCAAGAAGAAGAUUUGGUGAUGAUUCUAUUUUGGUGUUUUCUUGAUAUUUGCUGCUGCCUCUGGCUUGUGGGGUUCUUUUCUAUUUUGGAUCUAUGCUUAACCAGGUGUAUUAUGUGGGCAUAUACUCUAAAUCCUGAAAAUAGGCAUUAGAUAGACCCCAUCUGCAGCACAUUAAUAGAGCAGUUUUGCCUUACUAUGUUGAUGGUUGAUGAGCUCCGUGCAGAUGCAUCUGAAUUCUGACCUGUCUGAAACGUUUCAGACAAACGCCUGCUAGGGACCGUGGUUUUAGAAGCUAAGUACUACAACUGGAUAUUAAUUUUAAUUAGGGGUAGGUAGGUAGUAUUUAUUUGUGAUCAUUAGUUUAUCUGUUACUAGUAAGUAUUUCUUCAAGAGCUUAAUACUACUCCUAUACUAUUAAGAAAGAUUAGAGCAGGUAUUUAUUUAUUGUAUAUAUAAUCAAGUUGUCCUAAUUCACGUGCCACAUUUUCAAGUGAAUUAUAUCACUCUCUUGAAGUGGAAAAGAAAAUGAUACACUUGGAUUUGCCAGCCCAAUAGGGUUCGUCCCCGGAGUAUUAUUGGCAAAGAGAAAAAUGUAGGGCCUGUUUGGAACCUAAUUUUUUGAGAAUUUGUCUAAAACUUUACUGCAGUGCAUUGUAUAAGUUUUUGAAAAAAUUUUAUAGAAGUUUUUUGUAAGGAGAAAAAUUUUGUAGAAGUUUUUGUAGGGUUAAAAACUUUUUUUCUUUUCUUUUUUUUUUCUUUCUUUUUCUUUUUCUUUCUUUCCUUUCUCUUUUUUUUCUUUCUUUCUUCUUCUUCUUCUUCCCCCUUCCCCCUUCCCCGUUACCUCUGCCUCCAGCAAUGCCACCUCUCGCCACCCCCUGCUUUACUUCUCCUCCUCUGCUCCGCCACCUCCUUCCUCCGCCACUCCCUUUGCCCGCCUUCCCCCUCCCCCCGCCAUUCCCUCACCCCGCUUCCCCCUACUUUCCACCAUUCCCUCUUCCCCCGCCACCCCCUCCCCAUGCCUUCCCCUGCUUUGCUUCUCCCCCUCUGCCCGCCUUUCCCUUCCCCCGCCACCCCCUCCUCGUCUUCCCUCUGCCCCUUCCUCCACCACCCUCUCUCGCUGCAACUUCCAAACAGGCCCACCUUCCCCCUCUACCCCGCCACCCUCACUGCCCCGCCACCCCCUCGUCACCUUUCCCCUCCCCCCGUCACCCCUUUGGCCCCUUCCCCCUCCCCUAUUCCCCUUCCCGUUUACCACCCCCGAAUCCCGCCACCCGUCAAAAAUUUUUUUUUUUUUGGCAAAUCCCCCAUUUCCCUCUGUUCUCCUCUUUCCCUGCCACCCUCACCCUCCCUCCGUGCGAUCUGGUCUUGCGACUAGAUCGGCCAGAGGGGAAGGGGAAGGGGGGUGGGGGAGGAGGGGGAGACGCAGAGAUAAAAAAAAAACUUGCGGGGAAAAGGGAAAAAGGACAAAAAAAGGGGAGAGGAAAAAAGGAAAAAAAAAAUCGGCACCGGAAAAGGUGAUCGGCGUCGGAACCGGCGUCGGAGGUGGUGGCCGGUGACGGAGUAGUUGAUGGAGAUAGUGGUGGGUGAGGAAGAAGAAGAAAAGGGGAAGGGAGUUUUUUUUUUUGUGUUUUGGAUAUUUUAAGUGUGUAAGUUAAAAAAUUUUGAUAAGUUUUUGGGAUUCCUGUAGCACAAGUUGUUAAAAAACUUGUAUAAUAAAAACUUGGUAAAAACUUGGACUUCCAAACAAGCCCGUAAUUUUGGUACCUAAAUUUUGACGCACGAGCGGUUUUAGUCCCUAAAUUUUGGAGGAAAACAAAUUUAGUACCCGAACUUUCAAAUUUUGAGCACAUUAAGUACUUUUGACGAUUUUUUUCCAAAUUGUUACCUGGAAAAGCCAUGUGAUAAUCACGUGUCCGGCCGCAAUGGAAUUAAAAAAGGACAAAAAUGCAAUUUUGGUACCUAAACUUUGACGCACGAGCGGUUUUAAUCCCCAAAUUUUUGACGAAAACAAAUUUAGUGCCCGAACUUUCAAAUUUUGAACACAUUAAGUACUUUUGACGAUUUUUUCUCAAAUUAUUAUUGAAAAAAGUCAUAUGACAGUCACGUGUUUGGCCACAAUUGUAUAAAAAAAAGGCCCAAAAAAUGUCAAAUGCCAUUCUAAUACUAAGUAUUAAAUUUAAGGACUAAUCGCGUAAUAAAGAAAAAAUUCAAGAACUAAAUAGCAUCACAUGAGUCAACAAAACCCAAGAACUGAUACAAAUGAGCUCCAAUUUCAGACAAAUUUUGUGACUUGAUUCUUAGAUUAAUGUACUGGGACAAAUUUUGUGGCAAAAUUUUUCCGUAACAAUUUGGGAAAAGAUCGUCAAAAGUACUUAAUGUACUCAAAAUUUGAAAGUUCGGAUACCAAAUUUGUUUUCGUCUAAAAUUUGGGAAUUAAAAUCGUUCGUGCGUCAAAGUUUAGGUACCAAAAUUACAUUUUUCUCUAUUGGCAAAAAUCCACCAAAGGGCAACAAGCUAUUGCGUAGUAAUUACUGGGCACAUGGAGUUGAGCACAAUUUGAUGGACACUUGUACUACUGUCAUUUCUCCACCAAUUCUGAUGUUGGUACAAGCUUUUCCAAGUUUUCUUUGUUCUUUUCGUUCUUUAUAGCUGUGGUGAGUAGUAUUUCUUUUUCAAAAGCGUGGACUAGUAUGAAAUUAAUACUAGUUGAGUAUUUGGUCAUUGAUUCGUGCGGGCUUAAAAGCAUAGAUUUGACCCCGAUUCGGUUCACUCCACAACUAAAAAAGCAAGUACAUAAAAACAAAGCCAGAUUAGACAGUUUCUUAAGCGGAGCACAGCAGGUUCAAGACGGAAAUGGGGCAGGAACGGUUGUCUGGCAGUUCAAGGUUAUGAUUUGAUUAAAAAAAAAUUUUUCGGCUCAAAUCACAUAUUGUAACUCAAUUUUCACGUCGUGUGUAGAACUCACAAAAUUUUGUUCUAAAGUUACGUCGUGUGCAAAGAAAAUUACACCGUAUGCAAUCAAAAUUACGCACGGUAAAAAAUGCACACAACCGACACAAACGGUUGCACCCUUUUCCGUUCAAGACCUUCUCUGCUUAUGAAAAAAGAAGAAGCAAACCAAAAAACAGCUUAAAUUUUAAGUUUAAACUCAUCGAUUGUCUAAUGCCUAAACAUGUUUGAAAGCACGCUUUCUACCUUUUUUGUCGAUGGCUUUGGGACAAAAUGGAUAUGGGUCAACAAUACCCCUCCACUGCAUUCUUGAUUAUUUAGUGUCUACAAAAUAUCUUAACAACAAAAUAAUUUUGAUUGGUUAGAUUCCAUAUAAGAAAAAUUACUUUAGUACUUAGCAGAAAUCUAUUGCUGAAAUAAGUCCAAAGUCAUCUGUCAUUAUCAAAUAUGAAUAGCCCCAGGAACUGAAAAAAUAAUCAUUCAAGUUCCAAAAUAUAUAGCAUAAUAAUUUAUAAAUAUAAAUCCAAGCCCCUUUGGUGUGGAUUGCAUCGUAUUACCUCUUUGGAUCACUGUACUUUUUUGGUGGAUCCCUCAACUCUUGCUCUGUCUUAAUUGAAUGACACGACACUAGUCCAGUUUAGUAAUACAUUUGUUACUAACUCUGCGAUCGUAUCAAUCUUUGGAACCAACAUUUGUUUUUUUUUUUUCUACCUGGAUGCAAAAGUACACAUAGAAUUAGAAGGUUUAUUACAUCUUUUGUGACUAGUAUCCACUGAAAUAUUUGCAAUUCCAAACACUGCAAUGGCUUACAAUAAUGCAUCUUUUUUUGUGAACAAAAUUUGAGAUCACAUCCUGAUCCUCCUAGUGUUAUUAAUUUGUCGAGUACUAGUGCUAAUUCGACACACACAGCUUGAUUGAAUCACUUAAAAAAAAAAAAAAAAACAAGCAACCGAUCCCAUAAUCCUCUAGUUUUAUUGGACAAUUGCCUGCGCAAGUAUGAACCAUUUCUGGUCUAUAUCACAAUUCAAAACAUGGGAUAUUUUACCUUUAUCCGUUUUAAUGAAAAGGAUGCAUCAAUGUAUCUAAAAGAAGAGAUAUAAGGAGAAUGGAAAUGUCAUUGCAUGUAUUGAAGUUCGUCAUGUAACAUAAGAAUUGUGAAUUUGCGCCAAUGUAAUUAAUUUUUUUUAACUGAAUUAAGUUUUAAAAUAUGAAAUUAAUUAUUUUGGUGCGAUCAUAAAAUUUCUUGUAUAGUUUUAUUCGUUACUUAGUGAUCUAAUAUUUGUGAACAAGUACACCUUUGGUCGCCUUUUUGCAUUGUUCUACUUAGUCACACAAUUAAUAGUUAUCUUUUCAAAUUACUCUAUGAUGAGAUAUCUCAAGGCAAAUUUUCUAGCAAAGUUGAUCCAUACAUUCAAGAAUGCAUAUAAGCAAAGUCGAAGAACAUAAAAGGACACACGAUUCAUGUGAUUAGCGCCUCAUUUAUCAAGCCCACGUUCGAAUCAUCAGAGGCCUUACGAUCACCUGACUAGCAUCCUCACCAACUAAGUUGAAAUUUGGAGGCAAACACCUAUAGGCUGCAAUUAUCACUUCAAAUUUGCUUAAUUGGUGGUAAUUGCUCUUUGAUCAUUCAAUCUAAUGAUGCUCAAGGAUAAUUCUCGUAUCAUAUUGUCAAAAACGUCAACACACUAACUGUAAUAGCCGGAUUCAACCAAAAUAAAUAACUGAUUAAGGGACUAUCAUGGCCACUUCUUUAUCCACUGCGCAAAAAAAUGGUAGCACCCAAAAAGGAAUGGGAAAAAAAAAAUGGACUAGUUACUAACAACUAUUUAAUUGGCCCACUACACAAUCCCAUGCAUAGUAGCAGCAGCAGCAGCAGCAGCAGAUAAGAACCAACACCAUCCAAUAUCUGGACAAUGAUCUAAUAUGUGUGGUAAUACACAAAAACUGUAUAGUAUUCGUUUUUUGUUUGGUGUGGCUGCGACUAAUGCGAAGUGACUUGAAUGAGGACAAGUCACUUUUGCAAUUGCCUUUGGUUUUAUCCAAAGAGAAAUGAAUCAUCAAUCCUCUUGUGGAGUUUGUUCCUCUCUCUCCCUAUUCUCUAAUAAGUCUGUCUGAAUUCUCUGACCGCAGGCAAUAUUUUGUUUCUUCUUUCUUUUUGGGUGGUUAUUUCUUCUUCCUCUGCAUCCAAUUUCCCAACAAAACCAAACAAGAAUAGGGCCACGCCAGCAAGUAAAGCUCUCUGAAGAAGCAACCCCGCCCCAUCCCCCCGGCAGCAAUAUCAUCAUCAUUUUUACCAGCUCAUGCAGACUAAGUUACCGCCCUGUUUCAGCCUACUCUAGCUAAGCCCAGAUGCAGACAUUUUGCUGUGUCAAUGACAUUUUUUGUGUACACUGCUACAAGAAACUUCUAAAGAGGAUUUUUCAAGAACGCAUUACGAAUCAAGUUUUGAGGCUUGAAUUUGCCGAAAAUCCCAUCACAAGACUGUUUUAGCAAAAAAAAAAAAAAGAAAAAAAUGCACAACAUGGAGACAGGAGUGGUAGUGCAAUUAUAAUAGGCACACAAUUAAAUACUCCAAUUCUCAGUAAUGCACUUUUGUUUCUGCAUAAAACACGGCCUUUACUAGCGACAUAGAUUCCCUCACCAUUUUCACGUGAGCAAGUUUCUAGUAGUUUAAUUGCAUCAUUGAACUUAACCAUCUCCUUUUUCCCUUUUCCACAAACAGAUAUAACCUCUCUGGCCGGACUCAGAAAGGUGUAAAGUGAUAAAGAAAGUCGCCCAGAAAUGAAGAAAGGAAAAGCUUUGUAGAAAAAGCUCAUAGUAGUGAAAAUAAUCUUGAGCUUUAUCACGCGUACAUUUUUAGGAUGACUGCAUGCUGAUUCACCUCCACUGUUUCUUAUGCUUUAGAGGCAAUAAUGGGCAUUCAAGUGCUGACUGUUGAGCAUCAAUUUGCUGCCACCACUCAACUGUACCAAACAAGGAAAGAUUAGAAGAUAAUCAAUAAUAGUUAAUACAGAUCCCAUCUUGGACUCGCCAUCAUCACUGGUUGGUUUCCUCGGAAGCUCCCCGUCGACUCACAUUCACAUAACAUAAUAGUUAUUGAGAAAUAUCCUUUUCAUUGGUGGUUGUGGCGGCAUACUCAUAAGGCACUUGUGGGCUCUUCCAACCCGCAAUGUGUUUUUGUUUACUUUAUUAUAUUGCGUGAAUCUUAGCCAGGCUGAAAAGAUACAGUAUAGGUGAAAGGCAAUUUGAAAAAACAGCUUGUUCCAAUGUGCUGGGAUGAUGGCUUUGAGCCUGGAAGUCAAAUUUCAACUUGGGUUUUGGUCGUCGAUUACUAUUUAAGUUUUUAUGUCAAGGUGUGCGUCUCUUUUAAGUCACAGACAUCAGUCUUUAGGUUGUUCUUCAUAAUGUAAAAAAGAAAUCCACUAGUUUUGUUAAUUUAAAAUAGACCCAACUCACCUCAGUUCUCAGUACUUUCUCACUGGCAUCGUCUCCAGCGCAUGUGUCAUUCUCCCUCUUUCUCAUCCAAAUCACCUUUUCUCCUUCCCACUUUUGCAACCCCUCCCAAGUCAAACCCCGCAUCUGAUCUUUAUUCAUCAAUCUGCAACCCCUAAGAUGUUCAUCUUCUAAACAUUACUCCCGUCCUCUCCUCCCCUUUAAAUUUUAAUACCUUCCAUUUGUCCAUUCUGAUCUUGACGUUAACUGUUUGAUCCAUGAUCAACAGGCCAUACGCACUUAGAAUUUUGAAAAAGAGAGUGAUUCUGGGAUGAAAGUAUUGUUGGCCUAAUUGAAGUUUGCUGCUACUCAACAUGACUUCUGAUAACAUACAUCGCCUCUUGCGAAAGGUCCUGUACGUGAUAUAUAGCUAACAAGCCGCAGAUGAUGCAGUUAACCAACAAAACCAGGUUAUCUGCGAUAGCAAUUACUGUGGUAGACGAGCAAUGCUGAAGAUUCAACUCUUUCCAUGCAGGAGAGAUGACUCCCAUCUUCAUAUACAGGAAAAGAUGUACCGCAUUUUCUCUGUUAAAAAUUCGGCCAUGCAUACCGUCAAAGAUCAGUGAUACACGGAUCCUAGCCUAGGUUUUCACGAGCAUGUUCAAAUCAAAGUAGUCAAUUGUUAUGAUUAUCUUUUCUUUUUCCUUCUGCAGCCAAAUGAAAGAGAGCUGUUGAAUUGUUGAAACCAAGUUCAACGAUUCUCUUCAAGAGAUAAAAUGACUUGCAAUAGCUACUACAAUUCGCGCAAAGAAACUUGCAUUAGCGAGUGGUUUACAAAAACAAAAAGGAAGGCGUGUAAAGGAAUUACAUACAACUAGUACAAGCGAUAUUUUCAGAAAACCUGGAGAUCCAGUCAGAAAUAGUGUCAGAAGAUCCAAGAAAAUUUUCGUACGAGACACCAAGUCCCUACAAUGCCAUCUAAGAGUCAUCCGCUUUGUAUAAAUUGCUAUGAUUGGCACCCACCAAAAGUAGUGCAUUAAUCGAUUGCAAUGAUCAGAAAACCGACAGAUACAUACAUGAGGAACACAGGGUAGAGUGCUAGAGCUUUCCUCCUAGGAUUAACUGCUGUGCUCAUGAAUGGAUAAGCAGCCCAUGAACUCCAAGCUAAAGUAACACACACCACAACCACCUUCAAAAUCACAUUGUCCUUCAACAUGCAGAUUAAGGCACCAACAUCCAGAGGGAAUAAACAAUAACCCAGAAGGCUCAGGCUCUGGAAGAAGAUUAUGUGACCGCCCUAAAAUAUGAACAUGAAAAGUUACAGCUUUUUGAACUAAACACUUCAGAAUUUCUCAGCUCAAUAAACAGAAUUCCAAUUUCUGAAAGUGUUAAAACAGUAGAGCUACUAAUUCCUAAAGAAAAAAACAUGAAAGGACAAAAGCAUGAACUACAAUGACGCAGAUGCAUGCAAAUGCAAGCUAUAUUUGCAAAAGUCAGCAAGGCAAGGAUGCAUACCAGCAGCAAUACAUUCAAUGUCAAAAUCACAGCUCCUGCAGCAAGUAGUGCAAAUGCAACAGCGAAAACCUCAGACUGCAAAAAGGUCAAAAGCACAUGAAAUCAGAACAUUAGAUUCUGAUAAAGUAAGAUAAAGAAAACAUCAAUUUUUAGUGCCAUUCAAACCAUUCUGAAUGUGCACCCAAGCAAAGGAGUAAAAAAUAAGUAGUAGAACUGUAAAGAUAAAAUUAACGAGCAUACAAAAGCAACAGAACUGAAGAAACAAUUAUCAAAUUGUUCAUGCAAAACCAAGAGCAACAUCUCUGAAGGGGAUCUCAAAUUAUGCAAACUAAGCUCAGAACUUCAUAGAGAUGCAUUAAUCCAUCAUUUUAUCAAAAUAAGGACCUGAAGCAUUCUCAAUGUUGACUAUUGGAAAAUUACUUGCACAGGUGACACAAAUCCUUCACAGUACAGACCCAAAUAGUAGCAAGAUAAAUUGCAUAUCAAUACCUUUAUGCAUAUCUAUAUAUAUAUAUAUAUAACUUUUCUUUCAUUUGAUUCAAGAAAAAGUUAAAGCAUUAUCUCAAUUUAUUAGCACCAUGACCUCUAGCUUCAAGACUUCUCAGUUUUAGUAUAAGCCAGUAAUUGUUACAUGGCAACUACACUAACUUAAUUCUUAGUAACUCUUUUUGGCUGGCAACAUUGCUCAAAUUGUUAAUAUAACUUAAUAUUGGAUCUCUCUCUCUCUCUCUCUAUCUCAAAAUCAAACUGAAGAGUAUAUGAUUUCACUAGAUGCAAGGGAUAAGGCCAACAUGAUCCCGAAAGGACAAGAGUGCUGCGCCAGGCACAUGUAUAAUUAUUCCUUCUCACAAACAUAAGUCAAACUAAAAAGUAAAUCCGGUUAAUAAAUGCAAAUAAUAACGCCAAAGUGAUGCUGGAAAGACGACAAUCGCCAAUACACCGUGCGCAUGUACAAAUUUUCCCUUCAAUAUGGUAUUACCUUUUGUCGCCAACAUAUUCCUAAAGCACAAAUGACCAAUGUAAACUAUGGACAUAUUUGUAAUCUUCAGGGAUUUUUUUAAGAAGAAAACAACAAUCCUUAAACAAGAGUAAAUUUAGCUCUAACAGUAUAAAACUGUUAAGUACUAUGCCAAUGAAGGCAGAACUAAUGCAAUGCCAUAAGAAGAAGUUCCAGUAAAAUUAUGCAGAACACAUGCAAAACAUAUGCAUUACCAAAAGGCGUAGUUAUAGGUCAAGCUUGUAGGGUCCAUGCUAAUCUUUUCAGUAUCAUUCCAAUAUUAUCAGACGUCCUUAAAGAGACAACUCCAAUUCGAAUUUCAAUCAAUCAAUUAAUUUUUUCUCUUAAUAUCAAGAAGUAUCCAUCAUUAGUUUAUCCCUUAUUUUGUGAUAAAAAAGUUAUCAAUAGCAAACUUGAUCCAAAUGAUGAUGAUACUCAAAAGAAACAUAUGAACCAAUCUAGAACGUGGUAAUUAAAAGCAGACUAUAAAGAUUGGAAAAGGUAAACCAAUAUUCCAUGGAAAAAAGUAUGAUUAGACCACAAGCAUUUUUCAGCAUUUAUAAAACAUCUUUCAUAAAAAUGUUUUCUUAAUGCAAAUUUGGUAAUGACCCUUUUCUUAAAACUGAGUCCACACCUACCGGUCGUUUUCCUAUCGAAGAUAAACAUACCGAAUCUACAGAUAUAGUCAGUAACAACUAUUACUGCCAUAUCAGCAAAAAAGAAACUCGAACCGUAAGACAACAUUCUUUCUAAUGGACAACUUACACUAUCAAGAAAUCAAUAAUGAGGAAGCAAAAAGAAAGACGCCAAAUGAAGCCAUCAAUUUCCAUCAGUUUGCCACUUUAAAUUUCCUAGAUAAACUAAAUUCAAAACAUGAAUCAUGGUUUUGUAGCUUUCACUUCUACUUAGUUACACCCAGCAAAGCGGUCUCAUUAAAUCUGACACAAACCUUUCUUGCACAUACACACGUCUGAACAGAGUCCCAUCCCAAAACUUGGAGAUUAGAUCAUUGUUGGACAAACCAUACAUAUCUAUCUACUAAUACAGUCUCUUGUCUAUCAAUUCAUUCUCCAUCUCCUUAAACCCUCAAAACAUUCUUUAAACUCAUGCAUUAUCAAGAAGUCCAUAUUCUGCAUGCCUAGAGGUUACAUAACUAUCUCAUAUGUCUGCAUCAACCAAGGUCCAAAUGCAAGUUGCACCAAAGCGCAUAGUCAAAUUAUGGGAAGCAAAAAAAAAAAAAAAAUCCCAAGUAUUAUUUCCUUAUAUAGCCUAUAAAUUACCCAACCACAAAAUCCAACAAAUAACAAGAAGCGAAUCGCAUUCCAGCGAGAACAUAAAAAUAGCAUAAAAAUGCUAAGAAACAGAUCAAGGGAUUACUAACUAGAAAACUAAAUGAGAGUAGCCCAAUUGCAGCUAGAGCAAGAUAAACAUAAACAUAGACAGGCAGACAAAAAACAUCAAAUGGGCAGCGAACUAAUUGCAAUCUAUAGCAAGAAAGUCAGAAAAAUAAAAAUCACACAAAAAUGGAGAAUAACAGAUCAAAUGGAAGCUAAAAUUACCUUCUUAACAGAUGCAGACCAAGACAGGGUAAGCCCCAAGAAGACAAUGAAGAAAAAAGGCCCCCACAGAUCCCAAUCCCUCAAGGCCUUGCCCGGAUCCUCCCUAUAGGGGUUAGGAAAAACCACCAAUUUCAAAUUACUAACGAUUCUGGACAGAUCCCUUUUCACGGUGUCCCAAACGGGCUCGGUUAGAGUAUUGGGAGCGGGACCAAACCCAGCAGCCGCAAUACUGGACGAGCCACCAACAUUACUGGUCCCAUUAGAGCGGGUGUUGGAAGACGGUGGCAAUGGAGGUAAUUUGGCGGCAGCGGGAGGGACGGGGAUGGGCUUAGUGGAAUUGGAGGAAGAGGAGAGAGGUGGGGCCGGGGGAGGCAGAGGGGAAGAGGAGAUAGGGAUGGAGGCGCGUGGAGGAGAAGGGGGCCGAGCCGGGAGGACGGAAGAAGGGUAAGGCUGAGAAUUGAUGAGGUUUUCGAUCUCGUCGAUGUCGGAUUGAGAAGUUGAGUGAAGAGGAAUGGUGUCGCUGUCGGGAUUGCGGGACAUUUUUUGUCGGUUUUUUUUUGAGCUUAUUUGUGCAGAAAUUUGCUGAUUUUGAGCUGGGAAUUCAGUGAUAUGAUUAGAGCUUUUGGCCGGGGGAAUUAAAGAUCAGGCGAAGGACUUGGGAGAGGUGGGCCGGGUGGUCAGUCGGUGAAGAGGGGCGGCGAUGAUGAUGCUAUCUGUUCUGUUGAUCGUUCCAGGGGAGGAAAUAUUUUGGGUUUUUGUUUCUUCUAAAGCUUUCCCUUUCUUCUUCCUUCGUCCCCCCCUAUUUUUUUUUUUCCUUAGAUGAGAAGUAAAAUUGGUCUGGCGUGGAGUGUGCUUAUUUGAUUGAUAUACCCGGGCCAACAACAAUAGCAAUAUUUGGGGUGCAUUUGUGUAAUUUGCUGCUGCUUAUCAUUACCGCUAAGGAUUUACUGUUCAGUAGAAAAAGAAACAUUUAUUUCAUUUUUGCUGUAAUUGAAGGAUUACUGAAAUUCAACCAUUCGUGACCUGUGGACUUUUCUCUUCCUACUAAUAUAGUACUUGUCUUCAUUGGAAGACCUGUGGCCUCGUUUGCCAAAUGAAUUUUUUUAAUAUUUAUUUAAAAUUUUGUAAAUUUUAUCUUCAUCGAAGAACUAUGACCCUUUUACUCUAACUUAUUGCAGAAAUUGUAUAAAAAAAUUUUUAAAUGUAUCACUUAAAAAUUUUGAAGAAUUUUUUGAAGUUACUGACUAAAGUUGUAAAAAAAUUUAUGAAAGACAAACUUGGCUAAAACUUAUUUACCAAACACACCCAUACUUUUUUCUUUUUUGAAAGAUGGAAGAACUAUAGUUGAAUGCAAUCACUAACUCGAAUUUCUUAUGUAGGUUUUGUCUGCACGUCAUGGAGGUUUUGUAAUAAAAGAUAUCACCUUCACCUUCGUGCUCAAAAAUGGGCAAAAGAAGUCGGACAGAUUUUCAGUUCGACGAAAAACUGUUGCAGUGUACUUUGAUAAGCAUCUCACGAGCACUCUAAAAGCCCUGAGACGAUGGCUAAUUUGGUCACCAAAAUAUUUCUCAUACGUUGUCGAUAUUUUCUGCAUCAAGAUCUGUGUCUUCUGCUUCCUAGAUCAUAUACAGCUGCAAAUUCAGACCCAGGUCAAAAAGGAGAGUGAGAAUAUGAACUUGAAGAGUUUCCUGCUUUAACAUCCUGCUAAAAGGAAAUAUAUUUCCUGGACAGAGAUAUCUCCAUCUUAUUAAACCAGAAGUAAAGACGACAACAAAUUAAGAAGCUUCCGAAUCUGUCUGAAAUGCUUAUUGUCAACAAUGAAAAUUCGAGCUCAGAAUAGAUCACUUCCAAUACCCCACAAUUUCGGCCAUUCCAGGCAAUUAACUACAAUACAGUCAACUAUGCUGCUCAUUUUGGUAACAACGUUCUUCAAAAUUAUCAGCAUAAUUGUGUGGAUGUAUCAAAAUUGGGUCCAUUUCCCACAGAGGACGCUAGCAAAUCCAUCAAAAAGCUAAAUUCUUAGACCCGCAUAUGAUUGAAACAAAUU
rnacentral:lncRNA from 1 species